rnacentral:lncRNA from 1 species
CCAAGUUGGCACUUAAAAUCUAGUUAGACUGCCACGUAGGAUUACCGUUAGGGAGAUAACGGAACUUAACGGAAGAGUAAUCACUUCGUAACAAAAUAAUAACAUAAGUGACUAAAACGUAACAUUUCAAACAUAAAUAACUAAAAUGUAACCUGAGGCAAACAAAAGUGACUACUUUUAUAGUUUACCCUUUAUAUUGAUGAUGUUUAAUAUUUUGAUCAUUACAAUAUUAGAAGAUGAUAGAGUUUGAAUUCAUAUUAAUUAGAUGUCAUAAUUCUAACCAAUACUCUAAUCCGUAUUAUUUCUUAUAAAAAUUUUACAUAUGUAAAUUUACUUAUAAUGUUUAAAAUUUUAAAAUUUUUAUUUGGUCAUAAGAAAUUUAUAUAUUGUGUGCAGGAGAAUGAAUUAUAUGAAAUAGGGAUGUGAUGGGUGUCGAAACCACUAAAUAUAAUUUCCUAUUCUCUAACUUAAUUAAAUAGUAGUAUAGAGUAGUAGGGUCGAUCCCACAGGGACUGGGACUUCUAAUUUUCUUGUUUACGUAACCAGGUUCCUAAGUCUAGGUAGUUGUCGUACCCAUGAUAUGUGUGUUGCAGAGUUGAAAAAAUAAAAGGGGGAUUUUAGUUGAUAAAUAAAAUAAAAAACAAAUAUAAAAUAAAAUAAUAACAGUGCAAAAUAAAAUUAAGGCAAUUAAAUUAAAUUGGUGAAUCAAAUAUGUUAAUGCUUAGCCUCAGCUUCAGUAUACUUCGAAAUCAAAUCGAUCCUUAAAAGUAGAUUUUCCUUUUAAACGAUAAGCUAGUUAUAGUGAUUAAGGAAGCCCCAACCGCCAACUUUUCCUUGUGUAGUUGGUUCUCUAGUAUGACCUGUAAACCAACUCUUACUGAUUAUCUAACCACGUAACAUGCGUCCGCAAUUUAAUAUCUCAGUAGCCUUGUGAUCUAGAAAAGCCCAACUCAAAUUAACGACCUCAACCGCAUGGGUCGUUUAAAUUCGAUCACUAUCUCCCUUGACGAAAAAUAACUAUCUUUUUCCAUUUGAACAUGCCAAUUUGUUCACGGGAACUCAAAUACGGUAGACGACCAACUUGAUUUCCCAAUUUUUUGCCAAUACAACUCCCACCCAACGUGCACUUUGAGCUGAAAUUUGAUCAACUUUAAAGGACGAUUGUGACUAUCUCAAAUACCAAAGAGAUAACGAAUGCCAUGUUGAAAGGUUUUUAGUGCGGGUUCAUAUCUCACGAUUUUUUUGGUCGAAAUGAUAACUGGGCUAAAACUAAAAGGAAAUAGUUGAGUAUGAAACUAAUCAUGCUUAAUGAAAUAUUAGAAUGGGUUUAGGUGUAAUGGUGAUAGGUGGAGGAAGGAAGGGACUUAAAGAGGAAUUCAACCAAAGAAAAUAGAAAAAGAAUCGCAGAAUGCUUGUACUGCUAAAAGACGAGUGAAAGAGAAAUGAAAUAAAUGAUUUUUAUUCAAUUUCCAGUCUAUUUUCCAAAGUAACCUUACAAGGUAUUUAUAUACAUUUCAUAUGUUAAUUUUAGCCUGAUUCAUCUAACAACCAACCACAUAAAACCAGAUUUUAUAUCAGAUUUUUUUUCUAAAUUUAACUUUUACAAAGUCAAAUAGAAAAUCUGAUCAGCCAUAAAUUUCUCAAAAUUUUCAAUUCGGCCCCCUUUUAUUGCUUGUGCUCUAAUUUAGCUCGAUUUGCUUGUUCACUCAAAUUUCGAUACUCCAACUACGUACCUGGUAAAAUUUAAAAAAAUUACAAGCUCAGUAGCAAAAAUUGCCGAAAUUGGGCGUGUUAAACAUACAAAUUCAGCUUAUUAUCAGGAUGUCAUGUCAUCUUAUAUUCCAUUCCAAUAAUUGUAUGCCAUGUCAUUAUUUUUUCAUCUCAUUCUGAGGACAAUGUCACAUAAGAUAAUAUAUUACUAAUAAAAAUUAAUGUUUUAAAGCAUAAAUAAAUUAAGAAAACAUGGUAAAUUUAAUUAAAAAGAAAACAAAAAAACUUACGGGUUCUCUUUACUAACAAAAAUCCUUCUGGGUUCUCUAUGAAGAAAACCAUAUGUCCCCUCUCUCUCUAUGAAAAUAAAAUGUCCUCUCUAUUUCGUCUAUGUUGGCUCCUCCAUCGUAGAUUUGACUAUAGAUCACUACACCAAGCCAGAAAAAUGAGAGAAAGAGAAAGAAAGGAAGAGUGAAAAACCAAAGAUUUAAAAAAAAUGUUCUAUAGAACCAUGGGUAAAUUUGAUUAAACUAAUUUUUUGAUAUUUAAGAAAAUUGAUUGAUUUUGGAUAGAGAAAUAGAAAACGCGUCCUACAAAAUGCGUUUUCUUUACUAACUUAACACAUCAAAUUCUUUUGUUAAACUGUUAAAUGUUAAUAGUUUUACUUUUAGUCUCGAGUUCAAUUCUCCUCCUUCUCACAUUUGUAUUUUUUAUUUCAUGUUGUUUUAAACUUCAUUUGUAUUUUAAAAUUGAUUUUUGAAAAAUAAAAAUAUGUGAAACUAGAAAACAAUAAAACAAAUAUUUUUUUUAUUAUUUUUGCUAAAAAUAGUUUGUAAAACUGAAAAUGUUAAAAACAAUGGUUUUUUACUUUAAAUGAAUUAAUUCGAGUUCAAACUUAUAUAAAUAUAAAAAAAUAUUCUUUUCUUUUCAAUAGUUUUUCAAAUAUUAAAUUUGGUACUCUGAUUCAAAUCCGGAUAAAUAUAAGUUUUUAGAUUUUAUUUCUAAUAUUUGUAUUAUAAAAAAAAUAGAGGUACCAAAGAUAUUUUCAUGUCCUUAUUAUUAGAAAAAAUAUUUUUUAUUUAGAAAAGGUGUUUUUUUUAAUUUUUUUAAAAUAAAAAUAAAAGAAUCUUUUCAAGAACGGAAAUGUCUUCGGAAAUUUUGAUCUCAUCCAAUGAUCAGGGAGAUAAUGGGGGGACUCCAAUGAAGAUUCACAUCACAAAGAAAGUUUAUUUCAAAGAGACGAUUGAGGAUACUGUUGAAAACAUGGUGGUAGAUCUGAGUCUGAAUGUCGUGGUCUUUUGGAAGGAUAAACUCUAGGGUGGGAUAACGGAUGACCCACCAUUAGGCUAUGGUAUUAUCAAUGAAGAGGAUUUGGUCUUUGUUGAGGGUGAUAUUUUAAGAUCCAACGUCAAUGUGAUUUCGACUAUUGAUUUUUCUGAUCGUCUCAAGAAAUGUCUUGUUAAAGACAUGGAAACCACUGUUGUUGUGAAGCUGUUGGGAUGAAACAUAAGUUAUGGGGUUUUACAUUACCGGAUCUCCAAUUUGUGGAGGCCCUCUCAACCUUUUCAACUUAUAGAUGUCGAAAAUGGUUAUUACUUGAUUAGGUUUCAAAGUAAAGUCGACUACGAUAUGGUGUUGACUUGAGGGCCAUGGGUUGUUUUUGGCCAUUACCUUAUUGUUUAACCUUGGACGGUUGAUUUCAGCCCGUCGAAGCCAUUUCCAAACAUGGUUCUGGCGUGGAUCCAUUUUUCGAGUAUGCCAGGCUUCCUCUACAAAUGAAAAGUUUUAGAAGAAAUUGGUAGCUUGAUAAUCAAAGUAGUCCACUUGGAUAUUAAAAUAUAUAGUGGCAUAAGAGGACAAUUCGCAAGGAUGGUUGUCUUCGUCUAUUUGGAAAAGCCACUUGUCUCACAGAUCCUUACAAUUGGAAAACUUCAAAGGGUUGAGUUUGAGUCUUUGCUAGCCAUUCGCUUCUCCUAUGGCUGUUAUGGUCACCUUAAGGACGUCUACCUUUAUAAUGGUUCGGAUCUGAAUUCCGUUGCUGGUAAGGAAUAGGUCUUUAAUCUGAUUGCCAAUGAAUCUGUUCCCGUGGGGAUGAGUGAUCCUUUUGGCCCACAAAUGAUUGUGGAACGAAAAUCGUGCUGAAACCAAAAAGAGAUUCAAAAUUAGAAGCCGAAAAUCUCGGAUAAGGAAUCAGAUAAAUCUCGUUUUAAUGCUUUAAGCACGCUGGAUAAUAUGGCUAUCAGUUUCAGUGAUAAGCAUCAAGGGUUUGAAGAGAUUGUUUUACAUAAAGGAGAGUUUUUAAAUAACUUAGGUGUUAAGACUAUAGAGCUAACUCUGGGUUGUCUAAUGGAAAAAAUAAAAGAGACCGACAAAUGGACCAAUCAAGCGGCGUGGGGUCCAAAUGGUCAAAGUCGCAAUUGCCAGUAAGUAACAUCAAGCUUGCUAUGGGAUCCGAUUUUCAUGAAUAAAUUAACUCAGUGGAGCUUUCACAGGUUUUUACUGGGUUAAAAAGGUUGUAAGUGACCGGGGCACACUUGACCUAGCACCUCUCUUAGACGACAACAAUUCGGAGGGAAUGAUGCUUUCAAAACAGGCUAAUAACAGUAAGAUUGUUUCAAAAUCCAUGAUUAAAAUUCUAGUAAGUCUUUAAUUCAUUUCAAUAUUGUUUAUGAAGGCCUAAUUGAAUCUGUGGUAGAUUUGAAUUCGAAAUCCGUUGACCCCAAUAAGCAUUCUAUCGUUACUUUUAGGGAAAAUUUAAACCCUAAUUCUUUUAAUUUUUCAUAGGCAAAAGAGUUGUUGGUUUGUAAAUUUCCUCUUUCAGGUACUAGAAGUAAUGACCCGAGGGCAAGGAAAAAAUGUUCAAUGAGGGAAGACCCUCAGCAAAACCAUCCAUGGCCAAGGGGGAUGUUUUAAAGUAGCAGGAAACUCUCAUAUUCCUCUCCCAAAAGCCAUGUCUGCCUCAGCUACGAUCAUUAGCUCUCAAACUGUAGCUGAAGUAGAUAAGUUUGAUAAAUGUCAUGAUGACCAUAUUAGUGGUGUUAGGCUUGAAGAGAUUUCCUAGGAGGUUUGUUUUCUUACCCUUAUUUUUUUAUUUAUGAAUUUUACAAUUUUCUAUUAAAAUUGUCAAGGUGUGCUACUUCCAAGUUCUCUCGCUUUUUCCAUGAGUAUAACCAUAAACACAAGCCGGAUUUAAUUGGUUUUUUAGAAACAAGAGCCAAUGGAUACAAAGCUGAUUCAAUCAUUGCCAAGCUCGCGUUACAGUCUUCUCAUCACGUUGAGGCAAUCGGUUUUUUUAGUAGCAUCUAGAUUGGAUGGAGAGACUCGUUUGAUGUAGAGGUUCUCAAAAGUCAUCCCCGAUUCCUAAUAGUCUGAAAUAAAGACAUCUCUAAAAAGCCCUUAAAAAGUUUAAUCUAAUAUAUGGGAGCUCGUGGUUGGCAAUUGGUGAGUUUAACGCCAUUCUUUCUUCCAAUGAAAAAAAAUAGAGGAAACCUUAGCGAGAAGAUGCCUUUUAUUGGAAAGUUCAGGGACUCGUUUAAACUGCUUGAUUUGGGUUUUCAAGGCUUGCAAUUUACAUGGCAAAGAGGUGGAGUGUUUGAGAGGUUGGAUAGGGCAUUUGUAAUUUUCCUUGGAAUUUAGCUUUCCCUCAUGCCACAGUAACUCACUUGCCUAAAUUAAAAUCUGAUCACCGUCCUCUUCGAGUGGAUCUUCUAACUGAUAUUUAUUCUACCGAGCAUUCUUUUAAAUUUCUUACGGGAUGGGUUGAGCACCCAACCUUUUCAAACUUUGUUAAAGAAAAUUAGAGUGUCUCUGGUAGCAUAUCAACGACACACUCUAAUUAUACAAACAAAGUGAAGAUUUGGAAUAAGGAUGUGUAUGGUCACAUUACUUCUCAUAAGAAUCACUUAAUUCACAAGCUUAAUAACAUUCAGUCUGUGCUUGAUAGUUCUAAUUCAGUAUUUCUACAUCAGUUGGAAAUGGAAAUCAAAGAAGAGUUAGAUAAUGUCUUACAUUAUGAGGAGCUUUUGUAGCGUCAAAAAGUAAGGUGUGAUUGGUUGUCUUAGGGGAUCGCAACACUAAAUUUUUCCACAGGCGCACCUUGCAAAGAAGAAAGCAGAACAGAAUUGUGACCUUAAAAAAUGAUUUAAGGGAAUAGAUUUUGGAUGAGGAUAGGUUAAAGACGGAGACAAUUAAUUUUUGUGGAAAUCUCUAUAGGGAACAUCCAGGGCCGAUGCCUGUUUUACCACCUACUGCCUUCCCGCCUUACGGAUUUUGAUAUUUCUUUUUUGAAUAAAUCGUUAUCUGAUGAGGAAAUUAAGUCUGCGCUCUUUGAAAUGGCUCCUUUAAAGCCUUCAAACAGUGAUGGGUAUCACGCUUUGUUCUAUCAAAACCAGUGCGAUCAUGUUGGAGCUUAUGCUUGUAAUUGGGUUAGAAAAGUUUUCUCUAGGGAUAACAUUAAUCUUGUUCUUAAUAAUUCGCUUCUUUUGCUCAUCCCCAAACAGUAGAGCCCAAAAUUUUUCUCUUAUUUUCGCUCAAUCAGCCUUUGCUCUAUUCUCUACAAGCUAGUUAUGAAGAUCAUCGCGAAUCGGUUUAAAAUUGUCUUUCUACAGAUAAUUGGCCCUAAACAGGCCAGUUUUGUAGCUGGCAGAAACAUCACAAAUAAUGUUAUUUUUGCGUAAAAAGUCAUUUAUUCCAUAGGAAGCAAGUACAAGAACAGGAGAUAGAUGGCUAUUAAAAUUGACUUAGAAAAGGCAUAUGACAGAGUCCACUGGGAUUUCAUAGAAACAUCUCUUCAGGCUGUAGGUAUUCCUCCAUUUCUCCUUAAUGCUAUUAUGUCAGCUAUUACUACUUCUACCAUGCAGGUUCUAUGGAAUGGGGUUCCAACCCAGAAAUUUUGUCCGGCUAGAGGAGUUCGCCAGGGAUGUCUGUUGUCCCUGUAUCUUUUCAUCUUGUGCAUGGAAUGGCUAGGUCAUAGCAUUCACUCAGCCAUAGAUGCAGACAGUUGGUCCCCUAUUUGAUUGGCUCGUACUGGUCCACCUUUUUCUCGUCUCUUUUUUUAUAGGUGAUUUGAUUCUUUUUGGGCAAGCCGAUGAAUAUCAAGCCAAAGUCAUCAAAGGUUUCCUCAACAAUUUUUGUAAGGUUUUGGGUCACAAAAUCAAUAUGCGGAAAACCAACAUCUUUUUCUCGAAUAGGGCUGAAGAUGCCGUAAGGGAUUAUAUAAGUAGAUUAUUUGGUUUCUGAAAAGUGCACAAUCUGGGUUCUUAUCUAGGGAUUCCCCUUUUACAUAAGAAGGUCACUACUAAUACUCUAUGGUUUGUUGUGGAUAAAGUUCGCAGUAAACUGUCCGAUUGGGAUGUAAAACAACUUUCUGUAUCUAGAAGAGUGACUUUGGCUCAGUUGAUUUUGCUUGCAAUUCCAAAUUAUUUCAUGCAAUCAAUGACGAUAAAUUGUCAGAGCAAGGAAGAUGGCUCUUGUUGGAUGGGAUUCGGUGUGCCCAUCUAAAGCUAAUGAAGGUCUUGGGUUAGGGCAUUAAAGGGAUCAGAAUACUUCUUUCAUAAUGAAGGUUGGUUUCAAUAUUAUGACCAACUCUAAUUACCUUUGGGUUAGGGUCCUCAGAUCGAAGUAUGGGUUUCAAGGUAGUUUACCUAAGGCUUUAAGAAAUGGGUGCUACUAUUAUUUUUUUGGAGAUCCCUCACAAAGGUAUGACCUCUUAUUCGGGAGAAUUUAAUUUGGUCAGUAGGUGACAGAAAUUGUAUAAAUUGUUGACAUGACCCAUGGAUCCCCAAUAUCGGCCCCUUGUAUAAGUAGAUUCCCUCUUGCUCUAAUCUUGAUUUGAAUUGUCCUCUUAAUAACUUGGUUACAAAUGAUGGUUCAUGAAACUUAGACUUUUUCAGACUAUGGGUUAAUGAGGAUAUCAUCAACAAAAUUGUGGGAAUCCCACCUCCUCAUUCCUUAUCUAGACCAGAUAGGAUCAUUUGGGGGGGGUCUUUGACUGGGUCUUUCUCUCUUAAAAGUCAAUAUAGUAAGCUUCGAGAAGGCACUAAGAAUUUAAAAGAACCUAUAUGGAAGUUACCGUGGAAGUUUCAAGGUCCUCAACGAGUUCGAUACUUUCUGUGGCUUGUUUUCAAAGAACGCUUAUUAAUGAACACAGAAAUGAUGCUGAGAGGAAUAGGAAAUGAUAGUGCUUGCAAAGUCUGGGGAUUUGGUGCCGAUGAUGUUUUACAUGUCCUUAGAGAUUGCCCUACGGCCAAAGACAUCUGGAACAAGCUCAUCCCUACAGAUAAGCUCUUUAAUUUUUACUCUAAUUCUCUUUAUGAAUGGAUGAUAGUGAACCUUCUUAACCAAUGGUUUUUUUUCCUUAAAGGAGUUGACUGGUAGUGCCUUUUUGGGAUAUUUCUUAGCGCAUUUGGAAGAAUCGUAAUCUCUACAUUUUUCAGGACUACUCAUGGAAUACUGAGGAUAUCAUCAAUGUAUAUGUUAGUUGGUCAAACUAGUUUACCUCUGCAUCCAAAUCUUUUAAGCAUGGUUCAUAAAGCCUUGUUACGAGACCAGAUCCAACAAAGAAUUGUGUACACCUAACUACAGAUGGUUCUGUCGGAAUUGAGGACGAGUUUGCUACUGUCGGAGGAUUUGUAUGUGAUCACAAUAGGGAGUGAAUCUUCGGUUUUAGCAGAUACUUGGGCAUGUGCACAGUUGUUGACGUUGAACUCUGGGCAUUCUAGAUGGUUUGAAACUUACUCUACAACGGGGCUAUGGUAACUUGCUAAUUCAAACUAACAGUCUUGAAGUCGUUAUUGCUAUUCAAGACGUAUCUUUUGGAGGUUCUAAUUCGGCUCUUGUUAGGAGAAUUCACCAACUUUUAGAUUCAGUAAAACACUGAAAAAUUCAACAUAUCUCUUAGGAGGAGAAUAGAAUUGCAGAUAGACUUGUCAAGAUGAUUCGUAACAAGAGUUUUGGUCUUAGACUGGUUGAAGAUUCUCUUUUAAAGAAUUUAGCUUAAUUAUCUGGGUAAUUAGUUUCUCUUUAAAAAAAAUAUUUUCAGAAACUGAAUUAAUUUUCGUCCAUUUGUUAUACCGUUAGUAAAACAUUAAAUUUCAUCUGAUGAAAACGACAUUAAAUAUUUAUAUAUCUAUAAAUGGGAAAAUGCAAAACGAUAAGAUAUUUAAAUUGAUAGAUGGUGCUUUGUUCGUCAACUUUAUGAACCAAUUGGCUAAAUCGGUUUUAAUAUUAUAUAUAUAUAUAUAUAGUAGCAGUUUUUAUUGCCGACUGCUUAAACGUGUUUUUGUCUGGGUCUGGAACAAAAGGUCCCCAUUCUUUGGGGAUGAUGCCUCUGCUAGUGCUGCCAAUUGAUAUGAUUAUUAGCUAGUGAUUACUAAAUAAUAUGAAGGCCCGAUCAUGUAAUUUUGACCUUCAUUUGCUUAAACAACAAUCAAAUAACGACGUUAUUUAAAACCCUUUUUUUGGCACCUCUUUAGAAUCUCUAAGCAUAAUGAUAUCCUUUAUGAGACACUGUUCAUCACUCAUCACUCAAACAGUAGGUACAAUGAUCAAUUUUAGAAUAAUUUAAAAAAUACUGGGUGUUUUUUAUGGACCACUUACCACUUCUACUGGAGUGAUCUUCAGAUUAUAUGAAAGUGGAAUUACAGAUUUCUUUAAAAAAAAAAACUGGAAUUCGGAUGAGUAAUUAAUACAAAUGCAUAUCUAGUAUGAAUACAUUAUUUUUUUACAAGAAAAUUCAAUCUAUUUGAAGUAUCAUCUUCCUAAAUAUGUGUAUACAUAAAUGUCAAAUUAGCUUCUGUACAUAGUUGUUGCUUGUACGUAGCUAAGUUGUAGUUAUUGGAUGGAUGGUAUAUAUCUGCAAGCUCCACUACGAAUGGCAGUGUCUAAUGAUUUAGAAAAGAAGAGAAAGAAAAGGUAUAAGUUAAGAAGGGAGAUAAGGGUAUUGCAUCAGCUGAAGGUGAGUGGUGAUGGUGGUGGUGGGUCUUUGGUUUGGUUGAUAAAAAUCCGAUUGCUAUUCUAUUCAAUCUACAGCUUGCACGUAAUGUCAUGGAAUCUAAUUUCAAAGAAUUAGGCCACCUUACACCAUUAAUUCGCAUUUGCUAUUCACCAUCACAUUUUCACCGUGAAAAACGUAAUAUAUAUAUAUUUAAAAAUAAAUUUAUAUUUUUUAUCGUAUUAAAUGGCAUAAUGCUAAUUUUAAUCUUCAAUGUUUAUAUUUUAAUCAAUUUGAUUUUUAUUCUUUUUUUAGUAAAUUAAGCCACUAGCUUUUUAAAAAAUGUCUAGUUGUUUUCUUUAAUAGAAAUACUAGCCAAAACAUUAAAUUUUUAAUAAAGUUUACAUGGCAACCCACGUGCAUUUCAUUUAUCUUAUAUGUCAUUUCAACAAAUAAUUUUAAAAUAAAAGUAAAUUAAAAUCAUAAAAGAAUCAUAAAAAAGUUCAUAAAAAAUCAAAAAUAUUAGCAUAAAGUACACGUAGAUUGCCGUGCAAAAUAUUUCCAUUAACAAAACAUUAAUUUAGACUUUUUUCGAUUAAAUUUGACUCUUUUAUAAAGAUUAAAAGCCAAAUUUAACUUUUUUAAAAAAAUAAAAGUUAACUUAUAAAAUAUAUAAACGAUAAGAACUAAAUUCGACAUUAUGCCUAAUGUUUUAAGAUUUGUUGAUGCACACAUUCCCAUUUUAUUUGUGGGUAUUUAUUUUUAGUUGGCAUUUUUAAUGUGAUUUUAUCAAUUUUUUUUGUGGUGCAAAGUAAAAUGAAAUAUUAUUAACAACAAUAAAACCGAUUUAUUGAGAUUAUUUUGGUAUGCUUCCAUCUAUCAAAUAUUAUUCGAUAAUUGAUAUGAGUUGUAUUUCAGAAAUUGAGAUUAAUGGUGAAAAUCAGGUUUCAUCCUUCUAAUUAAACUAAUUCUAUUGAAGUUGCAUUAAUCACAAGAUAAUGGCUGAAUUUGUGAAGAUUUAUUAUCAAUACUCUUUCUCCUUAUCUUAAACGUCUAAUCUAAGUGGAUUGGAAUAUAUUGAACUAGUGACUAAUUGGAUUUGAGUAUAAUAUUUUAACUUUUAAGGGAAGAUGAGAAUUGGAGUCUUUAAUUCAAUUUUAAAAAAUAUUUUUAUAUAAAUGAUAAAAAUUAUAUUAUAAAAAUAAUAUAUGAAUUUUAUAAAGUUAUAACAAAAAAUUAUAUUAUUUAAAUCCUAAAAAAAAUUCUAAUGUCAAAAAUUACAUUUUAUAAAAGUGUUAUAAUAUAUUUAUUUAUAAAAAUUUAUGGCAAAAAAGUAUGGGCAUAACUUCUUAUUUAUGUGUUCAUGCUAUAUAUUAUAAAAUUAAUAUAUUUAUUCAUAAAAAAUGUUAUAAUUUUUAUCCUAACUUUUUUUAUAAAAAUAACUUUAAAAAAUUUUGGCAAAGAAAUUACAUUAUUUAUGAAAAGUGUUAUGAAAGUUAUUGGACAAUUUAUAAAUGUUAUAUAUUAUAAAUUUUAUAUUAUUUUUUACUUGAUUUGCGUAUUAACUUAAUAUAAGUCUUUCUCCAAAUUAAGUUUAUAUAAACAUUUAAAAUUUAAGCUACAAACUAUUUGAAUCGUGAACCCAAAUAUUAUAAGAUCGAUGCUAAUUAUACAAAUAUAUAAAGUUUUCUUAUACCAUAUCAUAGGGUAUGAUACACUACAACCAUUGACAUUUUUAGUGGCAAUAUAGUUGUGACAAUAAAAAUUUCACCACAAAUAGUUAAGUAUUUGUGUGCAGGUGACACCAAUAAAAUAAGUAAAUGUGAUUUACUAAUAUUUUGUCACUAUUAUGACAGUAGUUAUGACAAUUUAAAUUACUAUAAGUGUAUAAUUGUUACCAAAUCUAUUGCUGUUUAAAUGUUAAAAAUUGUCGCUAAGUUCUUUUUUCCCGAGAAAUGAUAUGAUAGAGACAAUAUAUCUAGUAGUCACUCCCGUUAAUCAUUUUUGUGACGAUAAUUUUUUUGUCACUAUAAAAUUUACUUUUUGCAAUGAUGUAAUUGUGACAAUUUAAAUUACAUCACAAGUAAAUAGUCACUUUAAGUGUAUAACAGUUACUGAAUCCAUUAGCCACUACUAAUUAAUCACUAAUAAAAUGCUAAAAUUUGAUGUCAGGAAACAAUGUAAUAGUCACAACAUAUCUAGUAGUCAUUAUUAUUAAUCAUUACUGUGACUAUAAAUUUUUUUGUCUAUAAAUUUUAACUUUUUUUAAUGAUAUAAUUGUGACAGUUUAAACCACAUCUCAAGUAAAUUGAUACUAUUAAUGUAUAAUUAUGACAUUAAAAAUGUUUGUGGAUUUGUUUCUUAAAAAACACAUAUUUGAACUCAUCAUAAUAAAAUAAUUUUUUUUUCUGGAAUAGUGUUUUUAAUAAAAAAAAAUAGUGUCAACAUUGUAAUUGAAAUAGUUAGCAAUAUAGAGACCAAAAUUGAAAUUUGACCGUUGUCUUAUAAUGUCAAAAAAGGCAAGACAAACUCAAAAUAUGUGUUAGUGUCUAGGACCCUUAAGGCAUUUAAAUUAUAUAUAAUCAAUCACGUAACAUUUUAAUCGAAAUGUUAACAAUAUUAAUUAUUUGAACUAAAUAAUAACAUUAUAUAAAUAUAGAGACCAAAUUAUAAAAGAAAUUAAAGUAUAAAGAUUAAAUCUCAGAUUUAAACAUAUAAUAGAGGGACUAAAACUAAAAUUUAACAUUUUCCUAUAAUGGAGAGAGAGAGAGAGAGAGAGAGAGAGAGAGAGAAUCAUAUACAUGUUAACAGAAGGAAUGCCUGAUGGCCUUCAUUUUAUAUAUACUAGUACGGUUCCACCCACAGUUCGGAUUGAGUUAAUUUUUUGAGGCUAAAUUAUAAAUGGUGACACCAUUUUUUUGUGAAAACAGGAUCGACUUAGAUUUUGAAAAUGAAAACGAAAAUGGGAGUCGUCACCAAUCCUUCUUGAUAAGGUGUGAUCGAGUCACCUUAAAAGGUCGUUGUUUUUAAUAAACAAUUUGAUUUUAUUAAAAUAACGAUUUUGGUCCACGAAAUUCUGAAAAACGGGUUCGGGAGUCGGUUAUGUACGAGGAAGAAUUAGCACCCUCGUAACGCCCAAAAUUGAUACCUAGUUGAUUAAAUGAUGUCUUAGUGUCGAAGAUUUAAAACUUUAAAGAGAUUUAAAAUAUGAUCUUUUAUUGAAAUGCUAAAAAAUUUCGAGAAAAAAUGCAUAUUUCACGUUAAUCGAGAAAGAAAAUUAUAUCUCGUAAGUUAGGCCACAAUGUCUUAAACCCUGAUACGAGAAUGAAUGCUGAAAAAUUUACUUAUUUGGAAGAUAUUUGAUUAUCUCGGGUCUAGGAAAGAGAUCAUGCCCCGUGAGUUAGAAUACGAUCUUUUGUUAAUUCCCGAGAACAUUUAAAACUUUGUUUGAAAUGAUUCUUGUAUUUGGAUUUAUCGAGAAAACUAAAACCCCGUAAGUUAGGGUACAAUUUUUUCGAAUCUCAAAAUACAAAAUUUUAUUUAUUUAAAACAAAUAUAGAUAUAUUGAGUAAAAUGAAACACGGCGUCGUAAUAAAAAUGCGAAAACAAAUUACAUUGUGAUUAUGCAUAACAAAACAAUAAUGAAUACGAUGGUAUAAAAAUAAUACGAGCGAUAGUAACGAAAAUAAGAUAAAUAAAGGGACAAAUCAAUAGCAUACAAAAUAAAAAAUAAAAUGAAACAUUCUUUUAAAAUAAUAAUGAAAGCGUAAAUAAAUAAAUAAAUAAAAUGAAUAAAAUUAUAAAAAAUAUAUAAAAAGAUAUAUAAGUAUGUAUAUGUAUAUAUGUAUAUUAAAAUUAUAAAGUAUAAAAAAAUAUAAGUAAUUAUACAAUAAUAAUAAUAUAAUGAGACACAUAUUUAGAUUUACAUAAGUAAAUCUAAAUGGAAAUGUAAUGAUAAUAACAGUAAUAUUAAUAAUAAUACUAAUAAUAAUGAUAAUAAUAGUAAUAAUAAUAACCUAAUUAGUUUAAUAAUAAUAAAAUAACAAUAGAAAAUUAUUAAAUUAAAAACAAAUAGAAAUUUAGGGACGAAAUUGAAAAUGGAAACAAAGCAAAGGAUUAAAUUGUAACGCGCGUGAAAGGAGGGGGACCAAAUGAGAAAUUAUUCCUAAUUUCAAAACGACACCGUUCUAGGUGUUUUUCUUUUAAAACGGUCUAAGGACCAAAUUAAAAAAAAUAAAACUUUGUGGCAAAAAUUAAAAAAGAAAAUAGGACACAAUUGUAACCAGCCUCAAAAGCGGAAGGAUUAGGGACACAAAUAGCCCCUUUUUGUCCAAAAACAAGCAGAUCCUAGGCGGUUCGGGUCGGGUCAGAUGGCUCAAAACGACGUCGUUUUGGGGCUUAAGGACACCGACCAAAACGACGUCGUUUUGUUCGGCUAUUUAAGCCAAAAAAUUUCCAAUAAAUUCAUUUAUUUCCUUCCUCCAAAAAAAACAACAACAAAAAACCUCUCAAGCCCUCUCUCUCCCUCCGGGCACUGGCCCAAAAUCCGACCAUCGACCGUCGCGCCGGCCGCCGAUCAUCAGCGCCACCGCCGCAUACGACAGCCAAGAAGCUGAAAAGCUUCCCUUUUUUUCCGAAUCGCCCUUCAACUACUCCGAGUAUCCCGGCGUCGUCAAAUAGGUAAAAAAACUCUCCUUUUUAUUACUCGUUUAUACACGUACGAAAAAAAUCAAAAAGAUAAAAGAAAAUAGAUCUAUAUUUGAAAAGAAACGAAGAAAUCACCUUGAGUCUAUUUCUUUUUUUUUGCCUUAUUAUUUCUAAAAAUGUUCGUAAAAAAAGGGGGAAAUUACAGAAAGGUUCAGUUUUUAUAACCGAUUCCCCUUUUUUCUGUUGUUGUCUCUUUUAUUGUUUUGCAGUCACUCGAUGGAGCAUGUGGGUAAGUGGCGGUGGUGGGUUAGUGGCAGAGGUGAUAUGACAAGGGCAAUGGCAGUAGUUAGAAGACCUAGGUGCGGCGCACCUAGGGUUUUUUUUGCUAAUUGGUCUUUGGGUUAGUUUAGGUCGUUGGAUCAGGGUGUUUGGGCUUGUAAUUGGGUCUUUUGGGUAUUAGGUUUUGGGUAGGUUUAGGUGGGUUUUGUUUGUAAUGGGCCCGGGCAUAAAAUUGGGCUUGUACAGUUGCCCCUCUUUGCUCGUUGUCGUGUAACGAGAAUAAGGCAAAGACUAAGAAAGACCAAUUUUUUCGGUCUCGCCGAGCCUUGACUUAUUUGGUGCUUCUCUUUUUUAAGUAGCCUCCUUUCAGUCCACUGUGUCUUGUUGCUUCGAUCCAUUCCACUGCACUUCAGAGAGAUCUGAUUUGUAGCUUCAAUCUUCUUCGUAACAACUUUAGGGGGACGAGAUUCGUGGUUUUAGUCUGCUCCACUGCAACGUCAGGGAGAUAAGACUUGAUAUGAUAUGAUCCGCCAUCUACAGUUUGCUCCACUAUAACUUUAGAGAAAUAAGACUCGUUAUGGUAAACUUAAUCCGACCUACUGCAAUUUUAGAGGUAUAGGAUUUCAUCAUUUUAAUCCGCUCAACUGCAACUUCAGGGAGACAGGAUUAAUAGCUUCAGUCUGCUCCACUGCAACUUCAGGGAGAUAUGACUCGUUGGCUUUAAUAUGCUCUGCUGCAACUUCAGAGAGAUGAGAUUUUCCAUCUUCAACCUGCUCCACUGCAACUUCAGGGGGAUAAGACUUACUUUCUUCAACUUUAACGCCAAAGAGAUAAGAUUCGCUGCCUUCAGCUUUAAUCUGCUCCGCUGCUAAGGAGAUAGGAUUCGCUGCCUUCAGCUUUAAUCCGUUCCACUUCAACUUUAAUCUAUUCCACUACAAUGCCAAGGAAAUAAGAUUCACUGUCUUUGAUCUGCUCCACUACUGCUUAGAGAAACAGGAUCUACAAUCUUCAUCCUACUCCACUGUUGCUCAGGGAGAUAGGACUGGGGGCUUAAAUCUACUUCCUUACUACCUUGGGAAGAUAAGAUUCACCAUCUUUAAUCUACUCCACUACUACUUAAGGAGACAGGAUCUACAAUCUUCAACCUCCUUCACUACUGCUUAGGGAAAUAAGGCUGAUAUUUUUGAUCUACUCCGCUGCUACUACAGGAAGACAAGAUCUGCUACUUUCUUCGAUCUACUUUGCUGCCAAUACAGGAAAAUGAGACCUGCUAUCUUCAACCUACUCCACUGCUGCUCAGGAAGAUAAGGUUUGUGUUUUCGAUCUACUUCGCUGCAAAUACUAGAAGACAAGAUUUGCUAUCUUCCACCUACUCCACUAAGGCUGGUUUCUUCAAUCUACUUCACUGCCAAUACAGGAAGACAAGAUCUGCUAUCUUCGAUCUACUUCGUUUCCAAUACAGGAAGACAAGAUCUCCUAUCUUCAACCUACUCCACUGCUGCUUAGGAAGAUAAGGUUUGUGUUUUCGAUCUACUUCACUACCAAUACAGGAAGACAAGAUCUACAAUCUUCUUCAAUCAAUUUUACUACAACUACAGUAGUAUAGGGUUUGUGGUUUCACCGAUCUGUUCUGGGGAACAUAACCUGUAGAAUCUAUUUCAUGGGCCUAUUUAUGCCUAAUGAUUAGGAUGUUAUGAUCAGAAUGAAUCAAAAUCUCCUCACUACAUGUAUAUGCAUGCAUGCAAAAUGCCAUGAGAAUUAUCCUUUAACGUCAUUAUUCAAUGUUCAUUAAGAAUUCAUCAGUGAUGUAUCAUAGAGUCUUCUUGCUUGAGGGGUGCCUUUGACGAAAACCAAAAAAACACUCAGCCAGUAGCCUCGAGGUUCAACUGUUCUUCUGAGACCUGAGUUUUGGGUUAUCUUUUCCUUCUUUGUAUUGGCCGUUUACGCCAUUCUUUGGGUGUCGCGACCACAUGCUCAUGCAAGAGUAUGGAAAGUUUUCCAAGAAACCUCUUCUUAUUUCCUGGCAAGCGAAGCUUUAUCGCUGGCAUGAUAAUCAAUGUUUCUGGCCACAAAAUCUAAAGAUAUAGUCUUAAUUUUUUAGACCGUCUCCACUUAGACGUUUCAGCCAUUAAACCUGGUGCAUUCUAAAUAAUAGUCUAGUUUUAGGUUCCUGUAUUAUUUAAAAACUUCCACAGUAAUAUACAAAACUUAUUUUGCUUGAAUAUUAUCAGUCUAUUAAUCAUUAUUUCAGCAUAAGAUGUUUGAAAAAGAUUAGUACAAUGGGCGAGAUGAAAUUUUAUUGAGAUCAAAGCUCAAAAUGAAUAAAUUGAUCAAGAUAGCAAAUUUUGCUAAGAUACAAAAUGAAUAAGAUGAAAACAGGUACCUCAGAUAUCGCAGUAUGAGCUUCUCUGUACAAAAUUUUUGAAGACCAUUCUAAAUUUGAUAUGUGUUUAAGGGGUCUGCAAUACUUUGUCGAUGCCCCAAAACGUUACCUAUAUUUUCUUGUUAAUUCAGGUACAACAAAAUCAACAUAUGGCCCAAUUUGAUCAACAUUUAGGCUACUCUGAUCACCUCGUGCCCCAUUCUGAUCUGCAUUUGAGUCGCCCUUUUCGAGUUUUCAACUCAAAUCCCUUUUUGGUCUCAAGGUGCCCUUUGCGGGUUUUCACCUUAGCCUCUCCUCCAUUUUUUUAGGAACAAAAGCGCCUUUUGUGGGUUUUCACUUUGGUCCAUUUCUUUCUUUAGGUGAAGUAUUUCUUAACUGAGUCUGAGUUUACAGGGUUUGGCAGGCUUUUACCAUCCAUCUCACUCAAGAUCAAAGCUCCUCCAAAAAAGGUCUUCUUUAUAACAUAAGGUCCUUCCCAAUUUGGCAUCCAUUUCCCUUUAAAAUCCUUUUGUAGAGGAAGAAUUUGUUUCAACACAGGUCCCAUUCAUGAAAUUCCCUUGGACGAACCUUUUUGUUAUAGGCUCGCAUCAUUCGUUUCUGAUAUAUCUGACUGUGACGAAUACUUUUAGCCUCUUUUCUUCUAUUAGGUUCAGCUGAUCAUAUCGAGAUUGAAUCCAUUUGGCCUCAUCUAACUUUAAUUCGGCUAAUACUCGAAGAGAAGGGAUUUCAACCUCAAGGGGUAAAACUGCCUCCAUCCCAUAAACUAGAUAAAAAUGUGUCGUCCCAGUAAAAGUCCUAAUAGAUGUCCGAUAUGCAAGGAGAGCGAAAUGUAAUUUCUCAUACUAGUCAUUGUAGGUUUCAGUCAUUUUCCCUACAGUUUUCUUGAUAUUUUUGUUAGCUUCUUUCACGACACCAUUCAUUUUCGGGUGAUACGAUGAUGAAUUAUGGUGUCUGACCUUGAACUGACUACAAACAUCCACUAUUAAGUUGUGUCUCAAAUUCAGCGCAUUGUCAGAUAUAAUUCUUUCAGGCGUCCCAUAUCAACAUAUAAUUUUCUUUUUCAAAAACUUGCUAACUGCUGACUUUUUGACAUUGGCAUAUGAAGCGGCUUCCACCCACUUAGUGAAAUAGUCAAUAACCACAAAGAUAAAACGAUGCCCAUUAGAAGCCUUCGGCGAUAUUGGCCCGAUGACAUCCAUCCUCCACAUGGAGAAAGGCCAUUGAGAAGUCAUAACAUGAAGAAGAGAAGGAGCUGUGUGUAUUUUGUUGCCAAAAAUUUAGCAUUUAUGACAUUUCUUGACAUAAUUAAUGCAAUCUCCUUCCAUGGUGGGCCAAUAAUACACGAAUCUCAUAAUCUGUCUGGCCAUUGUGAAGCUGUUGGCAUGCGUUCUGCAAAUACCUUCAUGGACUUCUUUUAAUAUUUUCUUGGCCUCCACAGCAUCCAAACAUCUCAAUAAUACUUGAUAUGUUCCUCUUUUAUACAAAAUCUCUCCAUCUAAGACAUAAUCAAUGGUCAUUCUCCUCAACGUCCUCUUAUCAUUCUCCGUUACAUGGUCAGGGUAUUCACUAUUCUUUACAUAUCGCAGUAUGUCUUAGUACCAUGUAUGGUCAUCGUUUUCCUCUUCUUCAAUACUAUAGCAAGGAGUUGGGGUCUCAUGAAUUCUGAUUUGAAUUGUAUCAUGUCUUCUAGUUUGUUCACUUUGAUCAUACAGGCCAGAGUGGCCAAAGCAUUAGCCAUCUGAUUUUCAUCUCGUGGGAGAUAACAAAAAGUGAUACUGUCAAACUCUUUGAUCAAUUCCAGAACAAAUUUCUGAUAGCGGAUUAAAUUUGGGUCUCGUUUCCCAUUCCCCUUUGAGUUGGUAUAUUACAAAUGUAGAGUCUCUGUGUACCUCUAGUAUCUGAAUUUUUUGCUCUAUGGCUGCUCGGAUGCCCAUAAUGCAAGCUUCAUAUUCAGUCAUAUUCUUAGUGCAAUCAAAAUCCAAUUUACUGGUAAAAAGAUAAUGAUCUCCAUUAGGGGACACAAAGACUGCCCUAAUUCCGUUACCUACAGCAUUCGAAGCUCCGUUAAAGUUUAGCUUUCAAUGAUGAUUUUCCUGAGAAUCAUCUUCAGUAAUUUCCACAUACAUCAAGUUUUCAUUCGGGAAAUCAAAAUUCAGAAGUUCAUAGUCUUCUAAAGCUCUGCUGGCCAAAAAUUCUGCUAUUGCGUUCCCUUUGACAGCCUUCUGAUUUACGUAGACUAUAUCAAACUCGGAGGAAUCUGCCACCUAGUCAUCCUCCCAUUCAAUGCAGUUGACUCUAUCAUAUAUUUUAGAGGGUCCAACUUUGAAAUUAACCAAGUCGUAUGAUAGAGCAUGUAUUGUCUCAAUCUCUGUGCCGUCCAGACCAGGGCAUAACAUAAAUUUUCAAUAGGCGAGCAUCUCAUUUCACAGUCAGUAAAUUUCUUACUGAGAUAGUAUAUCAUUUUUUCCUUCCUCUCGGUUUCGUCAUACUGACCUAGCACACAUCCUAUGGAGUGGUCAAACACUGUUAAAUACAGGAUUAGUGGUUUAUCUAAACUAGGUGGUGCCAAAACUAGAGCAUUGGACAAGUACUGUAUUAUCUUGUCAAAAGCCUCUUAGCAUUUUUCAUUCCACACAUCUGGAUUAUGUUUCUUUAGAAGACGAAAUAUAGGGUCACAUUUUUCGGUCAGUUACGAAAUGAACCGAGCAAUAUAAUUCAGUCUUCCUAAAAAACCUCGAACUUCUUUUUGAGUACGUGGUGGAGGUAAAUCUCGAAUUGCCUUGACUUUGUCCGGGUCGAUUUUGAUUCCUUUUUUACUAACCACAAACCCAGAAGCUUCCCUCACCUAGCUCCAAAGAUACAUUUGGCUGGAUUGAGUUUGAGUUGGAACUUUCUUAAUCUUAAGAACAACUUCCUUAAGAUUUGCACAUGUUCUUUUUCCAUCUAAGAUUUUGCAAUCAUAUCGUCAGCGUAUACUUCAAUUUUCUGAUGUAUCAGAUCGUGGAAGAGGGUCACCAUGGCUAUCUAGUAUGUGGCUCCAGCAUUUUUCAACCCGAAUGGCAUCACUUUAUAACAGAAUGUCCCCCAUAGGGUUAUAAAUGUGGUUUUCUUCAUAUAUUCAGGAUGCAUCUUAAUUUGGUUAUAUCCCGAGAAACCAUCCAUGAAGGAGAAUAGCAAGUGUCCUACCAUGUUAUCCACCAAGGUGUCGAUGUGAGGUAAGGGAAAAUUAUCUUUCGGGCUAGCCUUAUUCAAGUCUCUGUAAUCUACACACAUACGUACCUUCCCAUCUUUCUUAGGGCCGGGUACAAUAUUGGCCACCCAUUCUGAGUACUUGACCACCUGUAGGAACCUAGCAUCAAAUUACUUUUGAACUUCCUAUUUUAUUUUUAGUACCACAUCAGGCCUUAUCCUCCGGAGCUUUUGCUGGACUAGCUUGUAAUCUUCUUUUAUAGGAAGACUGUGCACUACAAUGUUGGUAUUUAAUCCAGGCAUAUCCUGGUAUGACCAUGCAAAGACGUCUUUGAACUCUCGAAGCAACUCAAUGAAGUCUUGUUUUGCCUCUUCAGUUAUGCAUGUUCCGAUUUUCACCACCUUUCCCUCCUCUAAAGUUACAGUCUCCACCGUCUCCUUAUGAGGUAGGAUUUGUUUCUCCUUCUGCUCUACCACCCUCAACAAGUCCGAAGAUAAGUUACAAUAUAUGUCAUCUUCAAUGUCAUGAGAUUCCUCUGAACACAUAUCCCGUUCAAAAAGAUUUUCCGAGUCCAUAGUAGAGUCAUUCAUGUCAUUAAUAUCUGGGAACCUGUUGUACGUACCAAAUAAUAUACAAAGAAUGUUAGAAUUUAAGAAUACUUAUUUGUAUGAUAUAAUUAUGACUUAAGGAAUGAAUGGUUUGGGAAGGAAAUCCAUGAAGAUAAAAGAAUCCAAAAAUGAUCAUUUGUACGAAAGAAUGAAAUAAUCCUAAAAGAAUAUAUGCUCAAAAAUAAUUGCAAAGAUAUAUUUCAUUAAAAUCACGAUGUUCAGAUAUAUGCCUAUUCCACAAAAGUUUUCAUUGUCUCUAGGCUUAAAACAUUAAGUAUGUUUUGAAUAUUACUCUAAGAAAGCUCUAAAAACUUCAGGUAUUUCUUCUACAGUCCAAUUAUUUAGAAUACUCCCAGGUUCAUAGGGAAGUACAUCUAACAUAUUCCCUUCUUCAUUCGCCUCUUCAUAUAUGGCAUUGACGCCUUCCUCCCUCGACACACUUCUCUCGAGGUGAAUGAUUCCCCCUGAUACAAAGGUUUCGGAUAUGUGGCAAAUUAUCAUGGGUUCCUAUUCAAUUUCAUCCCCACUUAGGCGUGCCCUUCUUCUUCCUUAUUUUUUUUUCUUCCUCCUUCAUUCUUUGUUUUAUGUCUGGCUUAUAUCCUAAGCCAAAACGAUCCCGUUUUUCUUUCGGCACUAGAACUUUAAUUCUUCCUUGGAGGUACCUCCCUAAUCCUCUUCUGGGUAAGGUCCCUUUUCCUACCAUCAACUGUAACCCCAUCUUCGUUGUCCUAGAUAUUUUUGGCAUUGGAAUUUUGCUUCCCUCAAAAAUAAAAGUUGUGUUCACAAACUCCAAAGAUCGAAAGGAGCAUUCAACUGUUUCAUUAUUAGUUUCCACGUAAGGCACCUCAUUAGCUACAGCCAUUAUGAUAUCUUCCUCGGUAUUUAUUAUCACUAACCGACCCUCCGAUACCAACUUCAGCUUCUGGUGUAAUGAUGAUGGUACUGCCCCAGCCGAAUGUAUCCAUGGCCUCCCUAAUAAGCAGAUAUAGAUAGACUUAAUAUAUGUUACAAGAAAAUCCACCCCGUAGACAGUUCGACCAAUCAGUAAGGGUAUCUCGAUUCUUCCCAUGAGCUUUCUCUCUGUGCCAUCGAAUGCCCUAACUAUAUUUUGGCAUAUCUUCAUAUGUGAACUAUCCACAGGCAGCCUGUUGAGCAUAGAUAAGGGCAAUAUAUUCAAUACUGAUACGUUAUCUAUCAGAACUCCUGGCAAGGUAUACCCCUUGCAUCGAGUGGUAAUAUGCAAAGCAUUGGUUACUCCCCUGCCUCCAGGUGGUAUCUCGUCACCAUUAAAGAAAAUGAAGUUGUCGGCGCUUAUGUUAUUGACUAGUCGGUCUAAUUUGUUGACAAAGAUGUCAUUGGCCACAUAGGUCUCAUUCAGCACUUUCGUCAACGCCCUCCGAUGUACUUUAGAACUUAAGAGCAAGGUUAACAUGGAUAUGCGGGCUGGUUGUUUGUGCAAUUACUCCACAACACUAUAUUCGCUGUGUUUCAGGAAUUUGAGGAACUCCUUGGCUUCUUCCUCUUUCACUGGCUCAGUAAUAGGUAACACAAGCUCGGUUUUUUUUCCUUCUUUUGUUCCGUUACUAUAGUCUUUCCCUUUACCGGCUCGGCUAGAUGACUUAUCAAGUAGUAGCGCUUUCCACUACGUGUAUAAGAACCCAUGCCCUGAUCCUCUUUCACAGUACUGGCUGAAAUUUCCUUUCCUUAGGCAGUUGUGUUGCACUCAUGGCUCCACGGGACUUUCUUGUUAUCUUUGUAAGGGAAGGCUGCGGGCUUCUUAAUUAUUAUUUUUGGCAUUACUGUUACUCUCACCUCGUUCUUCCUUUGUUGCGAGAUAAUGACUACAGGAUGGCUUAUUUUCAGAACCCUUGCCGUUGGUUCCGACAAGCAUAUGCUUCCUCCUUCCUCGACUUCUUCAUAGAACUCCACUUCCUUAUCGUCCAUCAUGCUUUGAACUAAGGCUCUAAAUUCUAUGCACUCUUGGAUCUCAUGCCCUUCUUCGUGAUGGAACUCACAACAAUUUCUUGUCUCUCGACAUCUGCCUUCUAAAUUCGAACUGAUUAACCCCAUUUCUAUCAUUUUCUUCCAGACCCAUUUCAAAGGGGUUCUUACUUCAACAAUAUCUGUCUUGAUUUUCCUCCCAAUGUUCUCAUUUAUCAUGUUUAUCCCCUUAUCAGCAUGGUUAGGUAAUGGACUUUCCAUACUGGGUGAAUCAUCGAGCUUGACAUCGCUCAUACUGAUCAGUCUUUCGACCAGCUUCUUGAAGGAUGUGCAAUUUUCUAUUGAAUGCCUCGUAAUUCCCGCAUGAUAGUCGCAUUGUGCAUUAGCGUCAUACCAUUUGGGGUACGGAGGUUGUAAGGGCUUUAAGUAGAAAGGGGAUACAAUAUGUGCAUCAAAUAAGCUUUUAUACAACUCCCUGUAUGGUACCGAAAUUGGCGUGUACUGAGGCUUUUCUGUGUUCUGUCGUGUGUCGGAUUCCUGUCUUGAUGAACCUUGUUUAUUAGUAGCCACUUUUCCUAGUUAGUUCACUGUGAUCGAUUUCAAGUAACCCUUGUUAUAGGUCUUCAUGUUGUUUACCUCAUUCUCAUUUUUCUUUAGAGUCAUCAUUCGGUUACCUUCUUUAGCAUCGAUCAUCCCACUCCUUAUGGCAUUUUCAAUAUUUUCUCCAUUCAUGACUAUGUCAGAGAAGCUUUUCGUGGCACUUCCUAACAUAUGAGUAAUAAAUGGUGCCUUCAGUGUGUUAAUGAAGAGUAUUGUCAUCUCUCUUUCUAAAAGCGAUGGAUGGACCUGAACAGUAACUUCCCUCAAUCAUUGCGUGUAUUGCCUAAAACUUUUGUUAGGCUUUUUCUCCAUAUUUUGCAGGGUAAUUCUAUCAGGGACCAUAUCAGCUACAUGACUGUAUAGCUUCAUAAAUACUUGUGCUAAGUCUCUCCAUGAACUAAUCUUGGUACGACUUAAUUGAUUGUACCACUUAGAUGCUGCCCCUAUGAGGCUAUCUUGAAAGCAAUGUAUAACCAGUUGGUCGUUGUUAAUGUAUCCAGUCAUACGCCUACAAAACAUGGUAAUAUGAGCUUCUGGGAAACUGGUCCCAUUAUAUUUCUCAAAUUCCGGUAUUUUGAACUUUUGGAGAAGUAACAAAUCUGGGACCAGACUUAAGUCUUUAGCAUCAAUCCCCUGAUAAUUCUCAAUACUUUCUAUUUCCCUAAAUUUUUCUUCGAGCCAUUUACAUCUUUCCUCCAACUGUUUUGGCAAUUCUUCUUUUGUUUUCUCUUUCUCAGCCACUUCGUCGAAAUUAGGGAUGAUGGGAUUGGUAGGGUUUUCUUCGGGGUUAGAACCUAAUCCAGUUUUAAAGUUCAUUGGCAUUGAGGUGCCAGCCUGAAACUGUUGAGGCCUGAUUGUAACAGAAGACCUGCGUAGGUGUACAUCAACUUGGGGUUGUACAUGCGAAUGAGUAAAGCCCGGAGGGUAGAGGGGUCCAUCAUUAUCUUCUUCUUCAACAUUAACCAUAGGGUCAUUUCCUUUGUCAUUUCCCUCAGCUAAUAGUUGUGUUAGCUGAGUCAUCAUGCUCUUUUUGGACUCCAGCAUGUCUUGCUAAAUUUUUUCUAACCGAUCCUGCAUUUGGUCUUGCAUCUCUUUUUAGAGCUGUUCGAGCCUUUCCAAUAUUUGAUCCCUGUUUUUCGACUUUGUCCGAGUACCAUAAGGGUGUUGGUUUUCCAGAUUAACUGAAAUAAUUUUUUUAAUUAGGUUCUUUUAAUAAUCGUUAAUGCAUAUGAUGCGAUGAAAUGCAUGAAAUGAAUGCAAAAAAGCGUCAAUUUUAAUUCAAUUUCAUUUUGAAAACUUUACUAGAAAACAAAGUUCUUUACAUAAGAUGGAUUACAGAUAAGGCCUAGCUCUAAUGCUCAGGACUCUAAUCUUCCUAAGUAACGAGGCUAACUCUUGUCCCCGAUUUGGUUCUAACUCAUACUUUACGCUCAGUGUAUCGGCUUGCACUGCCAAAGUCUGCAGGUGAUCAGCCACCUCUCGGAUCUGAACCAUGGCUUCUCCCAUAAUAUGAUCUCUAUUUCUGACUUGGUUCUGCAAGUGGUGCAGCUGUUCAUUCUGACGAUCUUCAUUAGCUUUUAGGUACUAGAUCCAGAUAUCACAAUUUUGCAGUGUUGUUUCUAACUCUUCUAUCCUUUCUUUCAUUUCUUCGAUCUUGCUCAAGCUUGCUUUCAAUUCCAUCAUAGAAUUCUGAUUUCGAUACCGAUAGAGAGAUCCUUCUUACUCGAUCACUCUAUUCUCUAGUUCACCUUUUUCCUUUUGAUUCUCUGACAAACUCUUCUUUAGAACCUCAUUUUGUGUCUGAACCUCUUGGAACUUCCUUUCCCAGCUAUCAGCCUUGUUCUUUUCUUCUCGAAUCUCUUUACGCCACUAAUCUAAAAUUUUUCCCAACCUGGCAGUUCUUAUCGAUAAGCGAAGCUUCUUGUAAUAUCUCUUCAAGCUAUCUAAAUCUUCUUCGGCCUUAGUUUUUCCUUUCUUUAAUAUUUCUGCCUCGAGUUUCUAAACAUCCGUAUCUAAUCUCAAGUUCAUCUUUUCUUCUUCCAUUUGCUCCAUCUUCUUUUCUAAUUCUGUAUUUCUCCUUUCAAAAUCUUGCUUUAUGAUUUCUAAUUUAGAAGGGACAACUCGUAAAUGUUCCUCCAUCAACUGACUGAUUUCGUCACUUGACUCGGGGAUAUUAUCAUUGAUUCUCUUAACCCACUAGUCAUUAUACUCAGGAAUUGUCAUUGGACCAAUGGGUAAUCUCUUCAUCCGACGAGUCUGGUUCCAUGCAUUGGACAUUUCUUAAAUCUUCUUUUUGUAACCGUCACCUUUGUAUGAGAAUUCACACUUGGCUAGUCCAUGAGUUGCAGGUAUAAAUUGUCUUGACCUAUACUGUCUAAGUACUAGCAACGGGGCAUAGCCAACAGCUCCCCAAAUUCCAAGCAGAGGAACCCAGUCAUAAUCGCCACAUCGAUACAAAAUCUCAUCCGGACGCAACCACGGGGCUCUCCAUUCGACGUCCUCUUCACUAAGAUUCUGAAGAAUUGCCAUCCACUUCUCCUCCAAGAUGUCAUCCCUCAUUGGUGUAGCUACUAUCUCCAGUGGUGAAUAAUUUUCGGAGAAGACCCGAUACGAAACCUUAUCGACCUUUCAGAAGUGAUUAUGGAACCAGGCAAGUAAAAGCUGCGUACAUCCGAUAAAUCUAACUUCAGCCGCUCUCCGGCAGGCAUUUAGUGACCUGAAUGUUUCUGCCAAAAUCGCUGGGAUCGAUGUAACCCCCUAUCGAGCCGAUCAAACAACUAGGCCGUAUAUACUCAAAGCAAAUACAUCUAUCCUCCUCUUCGUAUCUGGGUGUGCUAGAAUUAUAUCCUUCAAAUUCUUCCAAGGAAUGCACUUGUUAUCCCCCUUCUUUUUUAUUCGAGAAGCAACCAACUGCUCACUCAUCCCAGUUAUGUUCAUCAACUUCUUCAAAAAGGGCGGUACAUUUACAGCUCGUGAGUAGAUUCUAUUGACUUGAAUUUUUGAACACCGAAGUAAAGCCAUGUAUUCUUCUAUCGUAGGCACUAAGUCGACCUUCCUAAAUGUGAAACAACUGUAGGCAGGGUUCCAAAACUAUACGAGAGCCUGAAACAAAUGCUUGUCUACCUUCACAUCUAGCAGAUAUGGCAAAUCCCCGUAAUUAGAAUAGAAUAACUAUCUAACCUCAUUGUUCCACUGAUCCCAGAUUUCCUUCAACUCUUGCAAACUGUCUUGAGUUACACUAAUACGAGUAAAGUCCCACAAUUCUGAUACAUAUACUUCGGCCAAACUAUCACAUUUCUCAUGCUGUGUCGUUUCUGACCAAGCUCGGAUGGCCGCAUUAUCUUCCACCUUAUCAAGAAACCUUUUUUCCAUGACAAACUUUCUAUAUAGCAACUGAAUAUGAACUAACGCCUUUUAUGAUGAAAUAUCAUGUAGCUGAAAUGUCAUGCAUUCAAAGUAAAGCAUAGAAAGUCAGUAUCAGGUAUAAACAUACAAUCCAAGACAAUCCAAAACAAUAAAACGCAUAUUCGAGUAUCUAAUAAGGUUAGAGUGUAGUUCUACCUAGGGUGAGUUCCUAAGGUUCACUACAUGCGGUUUGGCUUCUAGGGCAAAGGUACCCGAACCGGCAGAUUCCUCGAUCCUCACCCAUUAUAGGCUCAUAUGGACCAAGUUCAGUUCAGGGUAAUACAUUUCCCUAUGGCUGCACGGAGAUGAAAUUCUCACGAAGACAUAGGUAUGGAUGUAUCCCAAAAGCGAUCCACUAUCUUGCACGGAGGUGAAAACCUCACGAAGGACUAGUUUCUCACUCCCACUUAAAAAGGUAUAAUCGAGCGGUUAUGCAAUGCAAUAUGCAGAGAUUAAAAGACUCGAACCAAUAAAGCAAACAUAUCAAAAUGAUGCAGACCAUAAAAAUGCAAUAAGAGGGUCGUAAAUUUAAAUCAAAUUUCAACUUUCGACAAAAAGACAGAAAACAAUCAAUUUGUGGCUCGACUCUCAAAACCACUCCCCAGUGGAGUCACCAAGCUGUUGAUACCAUUUUUUUCUGAAAACGGGAUCAUCUUAGAUUUUGAAAAUGAAAACAAAAAUGGGAGUCGCCACCAAUCCUUUUUGAUAAGGUGUGAUCGGGUCACAUUGAAAAGUGGUUGUUUUUAAUAAACAAUUUGAUUUUAUUAAAAUAACGAUUUUGGUCCAUGAAAUUCAGAAAAAUGGGUUCGGGAGUCGGUUACGUACGAGGAAGGAUUAGCACCCUCGUAACGCCUAAAAUUGGUACCUAGUUGAUUAAUUGAUGUCUUAGUGUCAAAGAUUUAAAACUUUAAAUAGAUUUAAAAUACGAUCCUUUAUUGAAAUGCUAAAAAAAUUUGAGAAAAAAGACAUAUUUCACGUUAAUCGAGAAAGAAAAUUAUAUCCUGUAAGUUAGGACACAAUGUCUUAAACCCCGAUAUGAGAAUGAAUGCUGAAAAAUUUACUUAUUUGAAAGAUAUUUGAUUAUCUUGGGUUUAGGAAAGAGAUCAUACCCCGUGAGUUAGAAUACGAUCUUUUGUUAAUUCCCGAGAACAUUUAAAACUUUGUUUGAAAUGAUUCGUGUAUUUAGAUUUAUCAAGAAAACCGAAACCCCGUAAGUUAGGGUAUGAUUUUUUCAAAUCUCAAAAUAUGAAAUGCUAUUUAUUUAAAACAAAUAUUGAUAUAUUGAGUAAAAUAAAACACAACGUCGUAAUAAAAAUGCGAAAACAAAUUACAUUGUGAUUAUGCAUAACAAAACAAUAAUAAAUACGAUGGUAUAAAAAUAAUACAAGCGAUAGUAACGAAAAUAAGAUAAAUAAAGGGACAAAUCAAUAGCAUACAAAAUAAAAAAUAAAAAAUAAAAUGAAACAUUCUUUUAAAAUAAUAAUGAAAUCGCAAAAUAAAUAAAUAAAAUGAAUAAAAUUAUAAAAUAUAUAUAUAUAAAGAUAUAUAAGUAUGUAUAUGUAUAUAUGUAUAUAUGUAUAUUAAAAUUAUAAAGUAUAAAAAACAUAUAAGUAAUUAUACAAUAAUAAUAAUAUAAUGAGACACAUAGAUUUAUAUUUACAUAAGUAAAUCUAAAUGGAAAUGUAAUGAUAAUAACAGUAAUAUUAAUAAUAUUAAUAAUAAUAAUAAUAAUAAUAAUAAUAGUAAUAAUAAUAACCUAAUUAGUUUAAUAAUAAUAAAAUAACAAUAGAAAAUGAUUAAAUUAAAAACAAACAGAGAUUUAGGGAUGAAAAUGGAAACAAAGCAAAGGAUUAAAUUGUAACGUGCAUGAAAGGAGGGGGACCAAAUGAGAAAUUAUUCCCAACUUCAAAAUGACACCGUUCCAAGUGUUUUUCUUUUAAAACAGUCUAAGGACCAAAUUAAAAAAAAUAAAACUUUGUGGCAAAAAUAAAAAAAGAAAAUAGGACCCAAUUCUAACCAGCCUUAAAAGCGAAAGGACUAGGGACGCAAAUAGCCCCUUUUUGUCCAAAAACACGCGGAUCCUAGGCAAUUCGGGUCGGGUGGCUCAAAACGACAUCGUUUUGGGACUUAAGGACGCCGACCAAAACGGCGUUGUUUUGUUCGGCUAUUUAAGCCAAAAAAAUUCCAAAAAAUUCAUUUCUUUCCUUCUUCCAAAAAAAACAACAAAAAACCUCUCAAGCCCUCUCUCUCCCUUCGGGCACUGGCCCAAAAUCCGACCAUCGGCCGUCGACCGGCGGCGGCGAAAAGCUGAAAAGCUUCCCUUUUUUCCGUCGAAUCUCCCUCCAACUACUCCGAGUAUCUCGACAUCGUCAAAUAGGUAAAAAAAACUCUCCUUUUUAUUACUCAUUUAUACACGUACGAAAAAAAUCAAAAAGAUAAAAGAAAAUAGAUCUAUAUUCGAAAAGAAACGAAGAAAUCACCUUAUUAUUUCUAAAAAUGUUCGUAAAAAAAGGGGGGAAAUUACAAAAAGGUUCGGUUUUUAUAGCCGAUUCCCCUUUUUCUUUCUGCUGUUGUCUCUUUUAUUGUUUUGCAGGCACUCGAUGGUGCAUGUGGGCAAGUGGUGGUGGUGGGUUGGUGGCAGAGGUGAUGCAACAAGGGCAGUGGCAGUAGUCAAAAGACCUAGGUGCGGCGCACCUAGGGUUUUUUUGCUGAUUGGUCUUUGGGUUAGUUUAGGUCGUUGGGCCAGGGUGUUUAGGCUUGUAAUUGGGUCUUUUGGGUAUUGGGUUUUGGGUAGGUUUUAGGUGGGUUUUGUUUGUAAUGGGCCCGGGCAUAAAAUUGGGCUUGUACAAUAAAGUAAUGAUUUUAAUGUUAUAACAUGCUUUAAAUUCUUGUACUUUUGUAUAUUUGGAAUAUAGUCUUCGUAUUUUUAUUUUUAAGAAUUUAGCUCAUUCACUAUUCAAUUUUAAAAAUUCAGGCCUAAUUAUUAACAUCUUUUCCCACUUUGUUUCAAGUGAACAUAUAAUCGAUUAUACCAAUUAAAUUAAAAAAUCUUUUUUUAAAAAUCAAACAUUUUGUUAAAUCAAAUUAUCAAUAUUGCGCUAAGCAUAGAUUGUUUUAGAUCAAUCUAUAGUUAUGUUUAAAUUUCACAUCAUCAUUUUAAUUGCGAUAGUUACGAAUGUUAAUUAUUUAGACUAAUUAAUAUCAUUGUAAAAGUAGAGGAUCAAAUUAUGUCAAAUUAAAAAUAUGAAAAUCAAAUUCCAAAUGUGAGCAUAGUAGAGUUUGAAACUUCAAUUUUACAAUUAUCUUAUAAUGACUAAAAACUUAGAAAAAGGAGUUGUGUCAUUAGUUGGUCCAAAUAUUUAGUAUCAUUAAUAGUUUCAGUAGAAGACAAGGAUUUAAAAAAAAACACUUAUUUAAACUCAUUAACAAUAUUAAUUAUUUUGACUAACUAAUAACAAUAUAAAUAUAGGGGCCAAAUUAUGUUUGAAAUUAAAAUAUUAAAAUUAAAUUUUAAAUUUAAACAUAAUAGAGGGACCAAAAUGAAAUUUGACUAUUUUCUUAUAAUGUAAAAAAAUAGUGUCGAUAUAUCAAAUUAUAUAAAUUAAAUAUCAAAUUUCAACACAAACCAAAACUAAAAUUAAACCUUAGAAAACUACAUAAUCAAAAUUAAAAUCCAACCAUUAUAAGAGAUAAUGUAAAAGAAAAUGAAAACAUCUAAUGGUAGCCGUGAUUAAAGGUGCUCCUGGGCCGAGCCGAGCCCAACUAAACUUUUAGGCCUGUUUGCUAGGGCCCAAAAAAUGAGCCUAAAAUUUUGCCCAAGCCCGACCUGGACUAAGUUUUGUCUGAUACUUGUAGUUUGGACCAGGUUUUGUUUUUUAGUUCUUGUAUGCUGCUUCUUCAAUUUUGGGUUGUGCCUGGUACUUAUAGGGUCAGUCUUUUGUUUUUCUUUGGUUUCUUAAUAAAAUAUCUCGUCUCUCUUUUAUAAAAAAAAUUACUAAGAUAGAUGCAACUUAACAAACAAAUGCCUCUAAAAUAAUAACAAAAUUAACAACAAAACAAAUGUUAUACAAUAUUCAAACAAUAAUAAAAUAAUAAUAAUAACAUAAUAGUGAAAUUGUAGCAAAAUAAGGAGAAAACAACAAGAAAAUAACAUUAAAACAACAAAAAAUAAUGGAUUUUUUUGUCAUUUUGUAAAUUCGAGCCAAGCCCAGACCAAAAACGCCUUACUUGAUGCCCGACCCGUUUUUUAAAUAGGCUUUUUUUUCCAAGCCCAUUUUUUGAGCCUAUAUUUUUGUCCAAACCCUCUCAAUUUUCGAGCGAGCCCAGCUCGGUCCAUGAGCAGGCCUAAGCGUGAUAUGAGCCAAAACUUGGUCAACUGGCCUUGCAUUUUUAUUGUUUUUGCAUAAUAACUUAUUUGACUUUCAACUUUAUAAAAAAAGUUAUUUUAACUCCUUCAUUUAAUUUUUUUUUAUCUCUUUUAGCUCUUAAACUUCUGUUGGUGUCAAAUCAUCUCAGCAUGGAUGGAAAAGUUAACGUAUGUUAACUUUCCUAACGUGUGGCAUACACGUAGAUUACUACGUCAACAAUUAUUUAAUUUUAAAAAAUUCAUAAUUUUAUAAAAUUAAAAAUUAUUUAAAAAGUAUAAAAAUAUUUUUUAGUAUUAAAAAAUCAAUUAAUUAUUAACGUGGCAUAUAUGUGGAUUGCCAUGUGGCACGUGUAUGCCACAUCAAUAAAGUUAAGAGAUGUUAACUUUUUUACGGCUUUUUUUAUAAAACUAACCCAAAAAAAUUAAUUACAUAAAUAACCUAUUUUUUGAUAAAAUACGUAAAUAACCUAAAAUCUAUAGUAAAAGUUGGUGGAGCCAAAGUGUUUGGCUUCACCAACAUAACACGUCAGCAUUAGGGAUAAAAAAAAUCAAUUUUUUUAUGGAGCCAUGUAGAAUGGUGCAACCUGUAUAAAUAUUAGGGAAAUACUGCUAUUUUUGAAAAAAUAGGAGGCUCUAAAUAAAUUUUCCUUUUUUUGGUGGAGCCAAAUAAUUUGGUGCCACCAGAUUCUAGGCCUCUGCUGCAUUUUGUCCUUUUCCUCUCUUUUUUAUUUGUUUUUCUUUAUUUGUUUAUUAUUUGUUUUAUAAUAUUUUAAAUUUAUAUUUUAAAUGUUUUAUAAUAUCUGUUUAUUCAAACAUUUAUUUUUUGAAAAUUUGUUUUUUAAAAUUGUUUAUUAUUUAUUUUAUAAUAUUUUAAAUGUAUAUUUUAAAUAUUUUAUAAUAUUUGUUUAUUCAAACGUUUAUUUAAAUUUUUUAUUAUAUUUUUUAUAAUAUUUUUUAAAAAUUUUAAAUAAAUAUUAUAAAGCAAAUAAUAAACAAUUUUCAAAAAAUAAAUUUUCAGAAAAUAAAUGUUUGAAUAAACAGAUAUUAUAAAAUAUUUAAAAUAUAAAUUUAAAAUAUUAUAAAACAAAUAAUAAUAAUAAUAAUAAUAAACAGUAAAAGGACAAAAUGUAGCAUAGGCCUGGUGUCAAAUUAUUUGGCUCCACCAGAAAAAGGAAAAUUUAUUUAGAGCCCCCCAUUUUUUCAAAAAUCAUAAUAUUUUUCUAAUUUUUAUACAGGUGGCGUUAUUUUACAUGGUUCCACCAAAAAAUUGAUUUUUUUAAUCCCCAAUGCUAACGUGGCAUGUUGGUGGCGCCAAACACUUUGGCUCCACCAACUUUUACUGUAGAUUUUAAGUUAUUUACGUAUUUUAUCAAAAUAUAGGUCAUUUACGUAAUUAAUUAAUUUUUGGGGUUAGUUUUAUGAAGAAAAAAAGCCUUUUUUAUCCUUUCGGGGUGAUUUGACAAAAAUGCAAGUUUAAGAGCUAAGAGAGAUGAUGAAUUAAAUGAACGGCUAAAAUAACAUUUUUAUAAAGUUGGUGGACCAAAUAAAUCAUCAUGAUUUUUCCUUUUAAUUUUAAAAACACAAUAUAAUAACAUCUUAUUUGGCAACGAUGUCUACGUCAAUAAAUAAGAAGCAGUUAAGCUGCAUAACAUGAAUUAUUUAAUUUGUUAUUUAGUUGGUAGAUGACCGUGAUGUUAAAAUGGAUUCCAGGUCCAAGUGGAAUAGUCAUAUCAGACUCUCCUUUGGGCUUCCUCUACUGCAUUUUCAUCUAUCUAUUUUAAUUUCCGGUUAAACGGACAAACAUAAUGGAAUUCAUUUUAUUUAUGUACAUGACAUCAAUUCAAUAUUUUUAAAUUAGUCACCAGAUCGAUCCGAUUUAAAAAUUAUUAAAAAUUUAAAUUGAACAUUAAUUUAACUCUCUCUUUUUUUUUAUCAAUUUAACCAGUUUGUACGAUCUAACAGAUUAAAUUAGUGAUAUAAGACUAAUAAGGUUAAUUAAUGUGAUGAAAUAUGCGAAUGGGAAUGAAAAUAAGAGUAAGGUUGGACAGAUGUUGAGGUAUAGAGGAGACGUGGGUGGCUUUGGGGUUUGGGACUUCACAUGACAGAAAUGCAUGCUAUUUAUCAAAAAUAUACGUUUCACGUGCCUUUGCAUGGGAAAAAGUUGCCGAUUAUUUGGACUACCCACCAAUUUUGGUUGGUUUUAACACCAUCAAAACAUUUGCCCACUUGUUAAUCUUAUUAUAUAUGAAAUAUGAUUUCAAUCUUUGCAUUAUCUUUAAACUUAUUUAUGAAAAAAAUAUAUUAUUCCAUCUGCCCCUAAAUUAAGAAUUUUUUAUUUUUAAAAAGAUUCUUUUUUCUGUUUACAAUUUAUAAAACUUUUAAUGAUAAAAUUUUGAUUUAAUCCUUUUAAAAUAUAUAAACUUAUAGAUUAUUAAAAUAAAAAAUAUACAAUUUCAUUCUAGUUUCCUCUCGCUUCACCCAAAACAAUUAAGUCCUUUGGAAUUUUUUGCACCCAAAUGAGUCCUUAAACUGACAAUUUUGACAAAUAAGACCUUUUUACCAAUGUUGACCGUUAGAAACUAAUGACAACGGUGACGUGGUCGUUAAAAAUUAUAAUUUAAUGAUUUCUUUUAUAAUUUAGUUCCAAAAUGUAUUAGACAAAUAAUUGUCCAUGUAUAUUAAAUUCAAUUUUAAAUGUUUUUAAGCAAUUAAAAGAAAUUAUCCAUAAAAUUUAAUUUGAAUGUACAUCUUAAUGGAAGAAAUCGCAAAUUUAUAAUUUUCCAUCCUUUUAAAUUUCCUAGUUUUUUAUUUGACUUGAAAAAUCAAUUUAUCGGUUGAUUACAUUUUUAAAUUUAUUUAUGACAAGAAAAAUAUUAUCCAAUACAUUGGUGGAGAAACUUUUUAAUUUAAUUGACGUUAAAAAUUCACCAUUUGAAUUGAAAAUCCACCUCACCGUACUUCACAUCAUUUUUAAGGCCAAUUUAUCAUUGCUUUUAAGAAGUACUUUUAAAGCAAAAAAUACAUUUGAGAUAAAAAUAUUAUUAAAUAAGAUGUUUUUGAAUUUUUGAAAAAUGCUUUUGGAAUUAAAAAAAAAAAUACUUUGCAAAAGCACUUUUAAACCAAAUUACUUAUUAACCUAACAAUACUUUUAGAAGCAAUAUUAAACUAAGCCUUAGAGUGGAUUAGUUUGAAAUUUAUUGGACAAAUUAAAGUUUUGUUACCCCUAUUUUAAAUAUAAGUUAAAAAUAAGUCAUAUUUUCUUGAUAAUAUUUGUAAAAUUAAAAAAAAUGCUAAUGUGUUAAAUAAUUCCCAUAUAUAAAAGGUUAAAAUGUGCCAUAAGUCUUGGUACUCUUUAUAAAUUUAGAAUUUAAUUUUUGUACUUUUAUCAUAUGAUUUUAAUCCCUCUAUUUUUUAGAUUUCAAAAUUUUAGUUACAGCUGUAAACAUUAUUCAAAUUAUGGGUAAACUAUACAAAUGAUCGUUUAAUUAUUAAAAUUUUCAUUUUAGGCAUCCAAAUAAAAGAAAAUUAUAAUUUAAGCACAUAUCUUAUAUAAUUUGAUCAUUUUAACCAGUCCCAUUAAAAUGAGAAACGGAAAUUUGACACGGGUUUUUAAAAAUUAAACCUAAUAUUUAAAUUUUCAUUUCAACUUUUGUUUUUAAAAAAAAAAAAACCAAUAAAAUUGAAACGCGUAGCUUUAGCUUUGGUUUCAUUGUUUCACCAUCAUCACCAUCCUUCAUCAUCUCGUCAACAUCAGUUGAAUUGAAACCCCCAUGCCCCAAUCGUCAUCUUCUUCUCCGACACCAGCCUCCAAGACCUCUCUGACAACCACUCCUAUAUAUGCUUCUCCAAUCGCUUCUCUGCCGUCAACCGCCACUCCUCCAUUUGCCAAGCGAUGGUUGGCUUCAUCUUUUUAACUGGAGCAAUUGUAGGCCUUGAUGAAGUCAUUGGUUUAGCUAUGACUCUCCUCUCUACUUCUUUAGCCUCCAUUUCAUUAAUUUGGGUGCUUAAAUUGCAAAUUUUUUUUUAUUUAGAUGCUUAAAAUGAAGAUCUUUGAUAGUUGAUGAUCAUUUGUGUAGUUUAUCCUAAAAUUAUUAUGUUAAUUUCAGGUUGAUGAAAUAAUUUUUUUUUAUUUCAAAAUAUCACACUAACAAUUUAGCAAAAUUAGUAAUUAAAAAUAAAUUUUAAAAUAUAAAAAAAUAAGGAAACAAAAUUUUAAAAAAUAGAAAUAAAAAGAUGAAAUUAUAAAAUUAUGAAAAGAAGACAAUAAUUUAACCUAAAUAAAACUGGUAAGACUUUUAGAAAGGGCGCUAAACAAAAAAGGCAUAAAUCUUGAAGGUGUGGGAUACAGGCAAUGUGGAAGCUGUCGGGGAUUGUUUUGGCAAAGUAAGGUUUCGUUUUACACAAAGUUAAGAUUGGGAAUUCCCAGAAAGUAAAUAAAAAAAGGAGAGGAGGUUUAACAACCGCAAUUAUGGGGGUUUUGGUGACGACGACACAAGUCCUUUCUUUACUAUUCUAUUGUUCAAAUAAAUUUAAGGAAAUUGCAGUCUUUUUAAAUUGAAUGAGACAGGUAGGUGUAGGUUUAAGACUUGCUUUGGGAGACCUCCAAAAUUGUUGACAAUUUCCAAAUUAUUUUUUAGAACACUUUUAAUGGUCAGUCAACUCGUUCUCUUAUUCUUCUGGAUUUAAUUAGAGGAUUAAUUUUAUAUACAACCUUGGUUAAAGAUUUAUAAAGCAAGUUUCACUUUGCAUUCAUUAAGCAUCUACAAAAGCUAAUAUAUAUGCCAUAAUUUGGCAUUACACACCAAAACCAUGGACCCAGCCAGAUGGAAAUUGAAUAAUACCAAAGGAAAAGAAAAAUCAUAACAAAAGCAUGUGCCGACAUCACCUCUCAAAGGCACAAUCAAGUUAUACGAAUAUUUCAAGAUUUAUAAGCAGAGAUGUAGGCUUAGUUAUAUCAAAGACAGGUUUAAUCAUCCACAGCUUCUACAUACGUUGAUGACAAGAUGACAAGAUGAUGAAAUGACCAACGAUCAGUUAUUCAUUGCUUAAAAAAAACACUUCUGACUUUAAAAGUACUUUUAAAAGAAAAACUGUGAAGAACAAGCUGCUUUUGGCUGAAAUUUUUAACUUUUCAGAAGUAUUUUUCAAAAACACUUCUAAAAUGGAGCUGAAAAAGAGAAGUUAAAAAUUUUAGCUUUUCUUCCCAAAAACACUUUGGGUGCUUAAUUACUUUUUCACCCCUCCAAUAACAUAGUAUUUUUAUUUUUUUUCUUGGUGCUUAAUUACAAUUGUGUUAAAAUCAUUAAUUAGAAAUAAAAAAUAUUUUUUAAAAUACUAAUUACAAAUAUUUAAUGGUUAUAUUUAAAUAUUUAAAAUAUAGUUUAUAUAUUCUAAUUAAAUUUUAUAAAUAAUUAAUAUUUAUUGCUUAAAAAUAUUUAAAUUUUAUAUUUCAUAUAUUAAAAUAUUAACAACAAGUUAUAAUAAUUUUUUAUAUUCUUACUAAAAUAUAAUAACAUUAACUAAUUUAAAUAUUAUUUAAAUGCAUAUUUGUUACUUGAUAAUAACAUGUCUAAAAUGGACAAUUUAUUUCUCAAAAGUACUUUUUGACCGCAAUGCUAAACACUCAAAUUUUAAACUAAACUUUUCAAAAGCACUUCUCAAAAGCACUUUUCUACAAUACUUUUCAAAAGCAAUGAAGAACUGGCCCUAAAACACCACCACUACCACAACAACAACAAAAAAGCUGGAAAAAUAUGAUAAAAGUAUAGUGGAAACUCCUAUAUUAUGAUUCAGAUUGUAUUUUGCCUUUUUCACUAAAAAAUUAAUAAAAUUAAUCUCUAUAUAUUAGAUAAAAAAACAAACUAGUAUUCAUGUAAAAAAAAUCCAUCCAUUUCUCUUUUUUAAAGUAAAUGGGUUAAAGCCCUAAAUCCCAUACAUUUCUAUUGUUAAAAAAUUGGUCAUUACACUUCAACAUGAGGUACAUGUAGCAGGUCAUGUAUAACUGUUUGGUUAUUUCGUCAAUCACACCAAUUUUUCCCAGUAAAAAUGAAAGAAUUUUUUGUAACACAAAUGACCAAUUUACUCUUAGAUCAAACGUAUAUGAACUAAUUUGUCCAUUUUUUAGUAGAAUGGGGCAAAAUACAAUCUAACUCUUACUACAGGACCUUUAUGGUACUUUUAUCGCGAAAACACAUAAAGAUUCAAACAACCAAGAAAACAAUAUGGCUAUCGAGUCCAACCAAAAAUAAAUGCCUAGUUAAAAACAUAAAUUUUUUUAUAUAGUAGUGAAUAGAGUCGAAUUCACAAGGAAUAUUCUAUCUCUUUAAUAAAACAAAUAAUUAAAAAGAAUAAGAUUUUAAAAGUAAAAGUUGAAAUAUUACAAAUAAAAAUGUAAAAAAAAUUAAUAUUAUAAGAAUAUAGUGAGAAGAGAUAUCUCAAUUUUAAUUCAUAAAUUUAAUUUUGAUUAAAUAAUUACGGAUUUAAAAUUUUUAAUUAACAACAUAAAUAUUCUGACCCUAAAAAACACAUGUUAAAAAGAAAACAUAAAAACAAAAUAUAUUGUAUGCAACAAAGUCUAAAUUUAACCCUAAAAAUGUCUUUUUAUAGGUAGAAAAUUAGAUAAAAAUGGUUUUAAUGAAUUAAAAUAUUGUUUUUUCAGGUUUAUGAUAGUUUUGUGCCUCUAACAACCAUUUUUGGGCAUCUUUUCCUGAUGCUAAAAUAGAUAGUCAAACAUUUCGAUUCUCUUUUCAACUCUAGCUCAACAUAGAUUGAUUACAUCUUUCAACCUUCUCUACCUAUUCCAUAAAUAAUAAUUAAGCAUUGAGAAAAUUUCACUAAUAAACAGUCUUCCCAUGUGCAUUUUUUUUGUGUCCCAUCAUCUCUACUUUUAUGUUAAUUUGGUUUUAUUUUAUACUUGACAUAAAAUUUUAAUAAUAUCAGUAAUUAAACUUAAAUUUUUGAAUUGAAAUUGCAAAAUACUAAAUUUUUAAAACUAAAUUUAAGCUAGGAGUAUAUGGACUUUGAGCAUAUUUUAACUUGUUAAAGAAAUGCUAAAAAAUUGUGGUGCCAAAUUUCAGGUAUUUAGCAUUACCGUUAAAAAGUUGGAAAGUUGACAUGAUGUAAGAAAAUCAAAAAAUAAAUUAAUUUAAAAUUAUAUUCAAAUAUGUUAAUAUUACAUAGAUCAAAUCUAAAUUUUAAAUGCUCCAUAAGCAAUUAAGCAAUUAAUAUAAAUUAUUUGUAAAUUGGGUAAACUACACUAGAUCACCUAAUUAUGGGCUAUUUUUUUUACUCACUCAAUUAUAAUUUUUUUUAAAUUGGUCAUCCGAGAUUUUUUUUGUCCAUUUCCGUUAAUUGCACUAACAAGAGAGUGAUGUGACAAUUGAAAAAUUAGUACAAUAACAAAUUUAACCCUCAACUUUUACAUAUUAUAUCAAUUUAGUCAUAAUUUUAGAAAAUUAGCCCUCAAAAUUUACAAAUAGUCUCAAUUUGAUCCUAAUUCUAAAAAAUCAAAAAAUAUAUAAAAAUACAUAAAUAUUUUCGAAAAAUAUAUAAUAAAUUCAAAAUUUAUUUUAAUAUUUAUAUUGAUAUUUAAUAAUAGAAAGAAAAGAAAAAAACCAUCUCCUCCCCCACCGUCCCUUUCCCUCUCUCUCCCCCUCUCUAUUGUUGCUGUUGCUGCUGCAAUAGAGGUUUCAAAAAAAGGGUUCUAUGAAAACUAAAAUGGGAAAGGAAUAUUCUGGCUUUCAUGCAUCAUCUAAAGAGUAAGCUUGAAAAGUAUUCAUGUAUUUUUAUAUAUUUCAAAAAAUGGGGUGGAGGGUUUUUAUUUAAUAUUAAUAUUAACAUUAAUAUAAUAUUUAAAUUUAUUAUUAUAUUCUUUGAAAUUAUUUAUGUAUUUUUAUAUUAUAUUUUUUUUGUCAAUAAUCGUUUUAUAUUUUUAAAUUUAUUAUAUAAUUUUUAAAAAUAUUUAUGUAUUUUUAUAUAUUUCUUAAAAAUUAAUUUAGAAUUAGGAUAAAAUUGAGGGCAAAAUUUUUUAUCAUAUUGACUUUUCAAUUGCCAUGUUACCCUCCCAUUAGUGCAAUUAAUGGAAAUGAAUAAAAAAAAAUCUCAAUUAACUGGGUAACAAAAAAUAAAAACAUCCAUAGUUAAAUAACCAAAAAAGAAAAUGGCUCAUAAAUUAGUUAGGUUACUCGUGGUGUAACUUACCCUUGUAAACUUUAAUUUGAAUAUAUAAAUCAUAUUUUAGAUAUUAAAAUAAUUCUUGCAAAUUCAAAUAUAUAAAAUGUUAUAUAGGCACUAAGUUGUUAGUUACGAAUCAACUCAACAUUGACUUAAUACAAAAUAAUACUAAAAAUUUAAAAUUGAAACAAUUAGAGAAUAUUGUUAUAGGGUGUUUUUAUCUUUUUCUUACAUUUAUAUAAAAUUUAUAAAAAUAAAAUAAAUAAAAAAUGAAUAUAGAGAUGGCAGAAUUUGAACCUAAAAUAUCAAACAUUUUUAAUUUUUAAUUUUACCAUUUCAACUAAAAUUUUAUUGUUUUUGUAUAAAAUUUAUUUUUCACACCAAAAAAUAAAUAAUUAUAUAUUACAAAAAUACAUAUAUAUUUAAUAUUUAAAAUUCAAAGUAAAUUCUUUAAGCACUCUUAAAAAAGGAAAUUUUAAAACUCUACCACCAAAUUAGCUUUUAUUAUUCGUUUAUGGUUUUUAUAAAAAAACAAUUCCAUAAAAUUAAUUUAAGUUGAAGAUAGAAGUUAAUGGUAAAAAUUAAUUAUUUAAUAUUAAUUAGGUAUGUAUAAAUUUAAUUGUGAAAUGUAAUAUUUAUUAAAUUUUGUUGUGGUAGAGGUGUAUAAUUAAUUAAAUUUGAAAAACUGAGAUUUGUAUACAAAUACUUCUAUUGUCACGCAUCAUAUCUACGUUCUUCCCAAAUCCUAAACAAAAACGUAUGGUAAAGGUAGGACGGCAUUGUUUGGCUUAGGCUUAGCUCUUUGCACUUUUUAACUACGUAGAUACAAAUAAAUAAGCAAACUGGGAAUUUGACUCUCAAUGCUCCAUACUGCGACAUCUGCCGCUCUCUCAUUUUCAACUAUUUUCUUCUCUUCUCCAUUUCACACUUGCUCUUCUCUUUCCUAUAAAAUCCAAAUCUACCCGUUUCUUCUCUGCUAGCAUUUACUUCCUCAGGUAAACUCACCUUCUCUCUCCUCUCCCCUCUUCACUCUCUCAUUCUCUCUGUGUUUCUUGUUUGGUUUUGCAGAUAGAGAAAGUUGCUUGCAAUGGCGGUCUGUUCUUCCAGAGGUACAACUACAGAGUUUGGGGUUGUUUCAAGGAAAUGGAAAGAGAGAGAUAUAAGCCCUGAAAGGCACAAAAUCUGGAUUGAACCCAAGUCUCACCCCACCACCACCAACAGCUCUGAAAAGAAAGUUUCUGUUGUUUACUAUUUGUCUAGAAAUGGUCAGCUUGAACACCCACAUUUCAUGGAAGUUCCUCUCUCUUCUCAUCAUGGCCUUUAUCUCAAAGGUAACUGCAUUUGGUUUCCUUUCUGGGUUCAAAAUUUGCACAACUUCCUUUCAUUUUCAAGAAUUCUCUGUUUGGUUUGUAAGAAAGUUCAAAAUUUUAAAUUUACUUUCACGUCCCAAGAAAUGCUUUCUGCCAAAUGGUCGUGCCCAGCUCCAUAGCUGACAAAAGACCCAACUUUCUGUUUUCUCGUAAAGAAUAAAUUUGUUAAAAGAAGUGAUCUUUUUUCUGGUUCCUUGUUUUUCUAAUCAAAACCUUUUCUUCUCUUUGUUUGGAUGCCGAGAAAAAGCACCCGAUUUUAUUCUAAAUUUCGAGCAAAUUGAAUCUAAAAUUAUCUCGUUUUCUUUUCAUCUUUCAGAUGUAAUCAACCGCCUAAACCUCCUUCGAGGCAAAGGCAUGGCUAGCCUAUACUCCUGGUCCUGCAAACGGUAACACUCUCAUUCAUUCCUAACCGUCUGAUCACAUUCCCUCACCCUUCGAUAUUUAAUAUUAUUCAGUGUUGGUUUUCCUAAACUCAGGAGUUACAAAAACGGCUUCGUUUGGCACGACUUAGCGGAGAACGACUUUAUUUACCCAUCUCACGGCCAAGAAUACGUUCUCAAAGGAUCGGAGGUUCUGGACCAUUCGAUAAACACUAAAUCCUUGGAAGUAAAGUCGUCUUCUUUUCGGCUAACAAAACCGUUGGAGAGUCAAAAAUCCGACAACGGUCAUGAUUUUCCGUCAAUCAGACGGCGGAGGAACCAGUCUUGGACUUCCAUUGAUCUCAACGAAUACAGAGUUUAUAAGGCCGAGUCUAGUUCCGAUUCAGCACGGAGACUCGCUGCUGAUGCGUCGACUCAGACUGAUGAUAAGAGGAGAAGGAGAAAGGCGAUGGUUAAGCAAACGGAGAUUGAGGAAGUGCAAAGUGAAAGUCAAGAGUUGGAGCAGAAUCAAACUUCGGAGCUGAACAGGGAAGAGAUUUCACCUCCGCCGUCGGAUUCGAGUCCGGAGACGCUCGAAACCUUGAUGAAAGCUGAUGGACGGCUGAGAUUGUGCAAUGGGGGUAACGACGAUAACUUGAAUAAGACUGCUGAGGGUUGCCAAAGUGGUAGAAUAAAGGCGCCGUCUGUUUUGAUGCAGUUGAUAUCCUGCGGUUCCAUCUCGUUCAAGGAUCGUGGACCAAGUUCGGAGAGGGAUCAAGGGUUCUCGUUGAUUGGGCACUAUAAAUCAAGGUUACCUCGUGGAGCAGGUGGGGAUUGUAACCAGGUGGGAAAAGAUGCAGGGAUUGAAAGGGAUAUUGGGAGCUUCUCAAGGGUAAGAUUGGAAGAUAAAGAGUACUUCAGUGGGAGCUUGAUUGAGACCAAGAAAGUUGAAGUUCCUGCCUUCAAGAGAUCUUCUUCAUACAAUGCUGAUAGGUAACUUUGUUAAAGCAUUUCAUUUCAGAUUAAUACUUAAUAGCUUUGAAUUCCAAGUUAGUAUGAUUCAAGCUUUUGUUAUGUAGAAAGGAAAUAGCAGGCAUAAACCAAAUUCUACAUCUUGAUAUGACUCGAAGUGGGGGCUGACUCAAUAAAUUAGCUUUGAAUUUUAAGUUGAAAAUGAACUGUUGUUUACCUGCAAAACAAGUAAAGUUUGUUCUCACAUUUCCAGGGAAUUGGAAUUUAUGUCUGAAUGAGACUCUGGUUGGCCUUUUCUGUGUCUUGCUUGUAAGAUUCGUACUUGUCUUUAGCAAUAAGCCAGCUAGAGCUAUUCAUUUUUGUUGCAGAGGUACAAUCUAUUGUUCAUCUACUGGAAACAUCAGAUGAAUAUCUCUAUUCAUUUAAUGAUGGAUCAUAUAAAUUCUGGCCGUCCACAUUCAUAAUACACAUAUUCAAGACCAAUGGUCCUAUAAUUGGGGUAAAACAAACAAAUUCUGUUAAGAUUUUAAGCUUAUAAUCAAUUGGUGUAAAACAAAUAGACUAGCAUUUAUUCUAGUUAGAUUGUUUUUUUUUUUUUGGUUGCUUGUUCAUUUGAUUAAUUUGGGAACUUUGGAAUCAUCAGGAGUUCGCAGUUGCAGUUGGAAGAAAAGGAGAUGGAUGGCGUGCGUGCUAAGUGCAUACCAAGGAAGUCGAAAACUGUGGCAACGAAGAAAGAGGGCAAUAUGAACGGAGAUAUAUGUGGCGAAAAUGGAAGCAAAAGGCAUGAAGUGUAGGGUCAGCAUUGUGCAUUGGUGAUUGGAUUUGGUAUGUGAAUUGUAGUAGUUUGGCAACAAGAAAGAGAGAGAAAGAAGUGAAUGAGAAUGGAGAAAUAUUACAAGGCAAAGUAAGCUAAGCUUGCAAUGUAUUGCAAGGCACGGCACGGUGAAAGUCCCCACAAUGAGAGGGACAAUAGGGUUGGGAAUCUUGUAAAGGCUCCUUUUUGUUGAAAGGGUGUAAAAAUUUUGUCCAUUUCAGUUUGGAAAGUUUGAACUAAGGUCAAAUUUUGGUGCCUUGAUUUUUGUGGGAGGUUUUAGCUGACUGGGUUAAGCUUGUGUUAAUUUCAAUGUAUUGGCACUAACCUCUAGUAAUUUUAGGGUCUUAUGACUAUAAGUUGGUUUGACUUUUGAAAACAUGGGAAAUGGAAUUUCAUCCUAGAGAUUGUCACCUGCAUUGUUAUUUGGAUCCCAUUGUAGGAAAGUUGUGUUUUUUCAUGGAGAUUGGAGCUUUGAGACUUGAAACAUGUACACUGAGAAAGUUCCAACAUUUUGUUACAAUAUGUAACACAAAGCCUACUUUUUCUUCAAUACAUGUGAAAAUGACUACAAAUCGCCUGUUAAAGUAUAGUUCUAAUUGGUCCUCAGCUUAUUGCAUUUUCAUAAAACGCAUCACCAUAACCAUUUGAUUUCAAGGCUUUUGUCAACAAUGUUGAUAAGUAGAAUUAUAACGAAACUCAACGUUGAAAAUGACGAGCGACAACAAAUAAAAGGAAGAAAAAUGUUGCAGCACCCCCAUAUGCCUUGCAUUGCAUUAUUCGGAGCAAGAGCGUUGAAGUGACCCAUAGGCUGCCAGCAGUUCAAGCCCGACAUUGUCUACUUUUAGAGGGUUUCCAGAUUUUGAUGAUUCCUGUUUCCUGCCUUCGACAACGCUUUCAUUUGUAGGGUUAUUUUAAGACUAUUUCUUUAAGCAUACUAAAACUGAAAUUAUUUUUCCAUAAACAAAAGGGCCCCUAGAUUUUAUUGGGAAAAACGGUCAACAAUAUUUCAGAAGGGUCGGUGAAUUUGGAAGCUUAACCAUAUUAAUUUUCUCUGAUUUUCUUGUCAAUUGUUUCGUAUUUUCAAUGACAAGCAUGAACUAUACUUACUUAAAUAUUUAAACAUGAAUUAUUGUAACUUUUUAGUUCAUUUUUUAAUUAUUAAACUAAUCAAAUCACUAAUUUUCGAUUCAGUUAAUUUAAUCUAUUCUAUCUUUUCCUUUUUUAAUUUUAAAAAAUAAAGAAAAACAUUAAAAAUAUUUCCUUGUUAAAACUGCAUCUUUCUUUUAUUUUCUACAACUCAUAUUUGAGGUUCAUGACUACUUGUCUCUAAAGUCUGUACAUAUGUCCCCUUAAAAAAUGCAACACACCUUACUAUUACAGGUUACAUCCUUUUUCUUUAAUGAUUACUAAGACUAUACCUACCAAAAAUACACUCACAAUUUCUCUUAAGUUUAUAGCCAUUUGUGUAAUUUACCAAUCCCCCCAUUCUUUGUUUGAUACCGACAAUUGGGAUUGCUUUUUGUUUUUCUUUUUGGGGCUGGGGUAAAUAAUGUUUGGGCGUUAGUAGGCUGUUUAAAAUGUUUUUCUCCAUUUGCCCUAGGUUAAUUUAGUCUAAAUAUCCGGUUUUUUCUGAUUUUUUUAGUAGUCGGUUAGUAAUUCAAACAAGCUUUUAGGGUUCUUUGAGAAAAAUUGUAACAGCUGGUCUACAUCAUCAUUUUUUUUUUGUUUAAUUUAAACCGAUUGAGUUUUUUAGAUUGAAUUGAAAUAGGUAAUUCUUGAAAAAGAUAAUAUGAGACUAGAUAAGAAUUAAACAACAUAUGAUCAAGAUUAGAGUCUAUCCGUAAAUCAUCUUUCUAAUGUUAAUUUCCAUAAAUUACAUUAAAACUUUAGAUCCCACAUUGAAAGAAAAAUAAAGGAUUACUAGAUUAUUGCAAAGUGUCAAAUAAAAUUAUGAUACUAGAAUUUUAUCAUAUAAAAAACAUAAACAUUGUCUUUCUUUUUAAUAUUAAUUUCCAGUUUACCAAUUAAUGGAUUUAGUUUAAAAUUGUAGAAUUAGUUUUCAUUAUUGGAUAAAAUUUAGUGUGCGAAUUUAGUAAAAUUUGGGUACUAAUCACUUUGUUGCGAGUUUCGAGACGUAUACUUGUGAUGCAAAAAAAACACCUUCAGCAUGGAAUUGAUGAGUCUUUUUCAUAUAACCAUAGCGUCACCUUUCAUCAACUAAGCCCACCUUUCCAACAAGGAUGCCAUCCUGUCCUUUUCCCACCAAAAAGCUCAUACAUCUCUAGUCUUGCAUGGAGCUAAGGUCUCAUUAGUUCAUACACUGCAAUUAAUAACGUACAAAAACAUUUACAAAACUAUAUAUAGUAAAAACAAAGUGGAAUAUGUUAAUUACUUAUCUAUGUAAAUCAUUAUUGUUGAACUUUCUCAUAAAAUUAACAUAAUAUAUCGAAUGCGGAGGAGCCCAACGUCUUGACGGACACCUGAUUGCAGCUUUUUGACAACAUUGGUCUAACCCUGACAACAGCAAAUCUGUUUUGGCUUUCAUCUACUGCAAUAACAUCAUUGUUUGCUUGUAUCAAUAUAGAAACACUUGAAAGUCUAAAACACCCCUCGCCUAUUUGGUCUCCUUUGUAGGCAGGAAGUGUUUCCAAUUCCAACAUGGUACUAGCAAAAGUUAAGACAUAUCGUUUUAAGAUUGAUUGCAAUUGCUUUACAGUCAAGGCGUGAGCUUCUGUUUUGCCUUGGGUAAUUUUUUGUAUCAGAUUCAGGAUUAAGACCAAUAUCGUCGGAUUUGCUUGUACCAAUGACAUUAGCAGCUACAUAUUAUGAUGAUCUUCUAUUUUUGUCAAGAAAUGCAUGUAUAUAAGGAUCACUAUCUUUCAGGAUUUCCUAAAUCUAUUUCUUUAAAAUGAUAACUUCAUCCUCUAAUUGCACCCUUCGCCAAACUUUACCCACUUGCCAACAUAAUUGGUCAGCAUAAAUAUGUCUACUUUGUAAUCUACAACUCUGAUAAUAACAUGGAAAAUGUUAUUGAAUCCAACUUACGCCAUGUCGAUAAUGUACAAAUUUGUCACUAUACUUUAGAUAGAAAUUGAAAUUUGCCACUAUGAUUUGGUUUUGUCAUCAUACUUUUAAAUUAAUAGUAAAUUUACCACUGAUCUACUUCAACGUUAUAUUGAAUUUUGUCACUUAACUUUUAUUUGAAUAAAUUUUAAAACUAAAGUUUGAAUCUUGAUUAAAUUAGCUUAACUUAAAUUUAAUAAAAAUAAUUGAAAUAUUGUAGUUAAAUGAUUAAAAAUAACUGAUUGAUUAACACAAUAUUAAUUAUUAAUAAAAACUAUUAUUUAUAAUAAUAAUAAUAAAAACAAUGUAUUCUUUUUUAUACUUUUUAAAACUUCCAUUAAAUAAAAAUUGGAAGUUUAUUCAUUAAAUUUAUAAAGUAACUUAAUGUUCGCUAUUAAAAUAAAAAUAAUUGAAAUAAUAUUUUUCUAUUAAAUUUUGUUUUUAAAUCAUUAAAAUUAAUAUUUAAUAGUAAAAAUUUAGUUAAAAAAUCAAAGUUAGUGCCAAAAUUAAUUAAAAUUCAAAGUUUAGUGAAUAAAUUCAAUCAUGCAUAUUCUUGAAGUAUAAUUGCUAACAUCAAUCAAAAUAGAAUAUAAUGACAAAUUUCAAUACCCACUUAUAAUAUAGUGACAAAAAUUACACCAUAACCCAUAUAUUUUGAUAAAAUAAUUUUAUGCAAAGAAUGAUGUUUAUCUAAUAUAUAUAUAUAUAUAUAUAUAUAUAAGCACCAACUCUAAAAUUGCAAUUUGUCAACAACAUAUUUGCCUUUGAAAUUUUUUAAAAUUAUUUAUUUAAAUGGUAAUUUCACUUUUUUUCCAAUUUUCAACUAAUAAAUAUUAAAUAAAUAAAUUUUAUAUUGAACUUUUAAUUAAAAUUAAUAAAAAUAUAAUAUGUUGUAAUGUGAAACGAUAUAUUAUAUUAAAUAUCAUAAAAGGGCUUCUCUUUCAACUUUUAAAUAUUAACUUUUGUUUUGUUUUCAGAUUUGAACUACGCUUUUUUUUUAUGUUUUUCAACUAUUAAAUAUUUAAGUAAAUAUUUUAAAAAUUAAGCUCUAAGCUUCUGUUUCAUGUUAUCUUUUCAAUUUUUUAAAUACCAAAUUAUUUCGUGUUUUUAUCUUUUUACAAAUUUACUAUUGUUUUUAUCGUGUUUUAAAGUACCAGCUUCAUCGUUUACUCCUUUAAACUCUGAUGCUCAUCCUUCUAAAAUUUCUAGAGUUGAAUAUGAGGCACUUGAUUUAUCUAACUUAGAACACAAACCUGGGUUACGUAAGCAAAUAUAUGAGUAUUCGGUUAAUAUGUGUGAUGAAAUUCGAAGAGCUUAUAUUAAGUUUGGACCAUGUUAACCUAUUCUUUCAGAAUAUCCUGCUUCUAAUUCAAAAAAGCAUCAUCGUUAUUUUCAACAUCAUGGUUUAAACAAUUUUCCUGAUUAGAAUAUCCACCUUCUAAAGAUGCAACAUUUUGUUUUCUUUGUUUUCUUUUUAAUAGUAGUUCAAGUAAUUGUUUUGGGUCAAAUGCAUUUACUCAUGGUGGCUUUAGUAAUUGGAAAAAAGUACAUUAUGGAUGUAAUUGUGCUUUUUUGACACAUAAGAAAAGAUCCAAAUUCACUGCACAAUGAGCUUAUGUAGAUUUAAUGAAUCAAACUUGACAUAUUGAAGUAUCACUUGAUAGACAAAUAACACAACAAACUGCAACUAAUCGUCUACGUAUGAAAACUAGUAUAGAUGUUCGAUGGUUGAUGUUUCAAAGGUGUGCUUUUAGAGGUCAUGAUGAAAGCUCAAGAUCAAAAAAUUGUGAGAACUUUCUUGAAUUGUUAUCACUAUUAGCAUUUUAUGAUGAGAAAGUUGAAAAUAUUUUGAAAAGUGCUCCACAAAAUGCUAGUUAUACUUCUUCAACAAUACAAAAAAGAGAUACUGCAAAUUUAUGCCAGUAGAAUUCGUAAUGUAAUUCGUGAAGAAAUUGGUAACAGGAAGUUUAGCAUUAUUGUGGAUGAAGCGAGAGACGAGUAAAAAAAAAGAGCAAAUGACAAUUGAUUUGAGAUUUGUUGAAAAAAAGAAUUGGUAAAAGAACGAUUUUUUAUAUAGUCCAUGUUAAAGAUACUGCAGCAUUGACUUUGAAGAAUGAGAUUUUGAAUGUUCUCUUGCAACAUAGUUUUGACAUGCAAAAUAUCUGAGGUCAAGGUUAUGAUGGAAUAAGCAUUAUGCAUGGGGAAUUUAACGGCUUGUAAGCUUUGGUGUUGAAUGAUUGUCAAUAUGCUUAUUAUGUUCAUUGUUUUGCUCAUCGUCUUCAAUUAGCAUUAGUUGCAACAACUAAAGAAGUGGUUGAAGUGCAUUAAUUUUUUAAAGAUUUGUCUGAUAUUGUUAGUAUUGCUUUUGCUUCUUCCAAACAACACAAUGAAUUACAAAAAGUCCAAACAAUUGAAAUAAUCAAUGAGUUAGCACCUAGAACAGGAAAGAAUCAAAUUGACACUUUACAAUGUCCUGGUGAGACUGGAUAGAGAUCUCAUUUAAAUUCAGUUACUAGUUUACUGACGAUGUACAAUGCUACUAAUACAGUUCUUGAAAAUCUAAAAAAUACCGCUCCUAACUAUUCUCAACGAGGAGAUGCUCAUAACGCAUAUAAUAGAUUGAGAUCUUUUGAGUUUAUUUUUAUUUUGCAUUUAAUGAAGGAAAUUUUAGGAAUUAUUGAUAAUCUUUGUCAAGCUUUGCAACGUCGUUCUCAAGAUAUAUUAAAUGCCAUGAGUUUAAUUUUGACAAUAAAAGAUUCAAUUCAAAAGUUGAAAGAUGAUGGAUGAGAUGAAUUGUUGAAAAAUGUCACAUCUUUUUGUGAAACUUGGGAGUUGGAUUUUUCAUAUAUGAAUGUUCAAUGCAUUUUGGGUCGUAGUCGUAACAAGAAGGAAGAUGUUAUAGUGAAACAUCAUUAUCGAGUAGAUAUAUUUUUGUUACAAUAGAUACUCAGUUGCAAGAACUAAAAAUCAUAUUUAACGAAAAUGUUGUUGAGCUUCUCACUCUUACUACAGUUUUAGAUCCCAAAGAGUUUUUCAAGUUAUUUGAUAUUGAUAAAAUUUGCAUUCUUGUAAACAAGUUUUAUCCAGAAGAUUUUUCUCAACAAAAGAAAAACGUCUCCCAUAUGAGUUGAAGCAUUAUGAACUUGAUGUUUGUAAGCAUCCUGGUUUGAGAAAAAUAUUAACACUUUCUAAACUUUGUAGAGCUUAAUGAAGAGUGGAAAGUCAAUCAUGUACUCGCUUGUGGAUAGAUUGAUUUGUCUUAUAUUGACUCUUCCAAAUUCAACUGCAUCUACAAAACGUGUUUUUUUUGCUAUGAAGAUUGUGAAGACUCGACUUCGUAGAAAGAUGGAAGAUGAUUUUUUGAAAAAUUCUUUAGUUGUGUACAUUAAGACAAAAAAAUUGCAUAAAAAUGUAAUGUAAACGAAAUAAUUGAUGAUAUUAGUGAGAUCAAGGAUCGAAGAGUGCAAUUCAAACAAAUUUAAAAAAAAAUUUAACUUAUUUUUAUUUAUUUAUUAUUUUUUAUUUAAUUAAUUUUUAUUUUUAAAAAUACUAUUAUUGUUCAUUAUCUUAACCCCUUCUUGAAAUUUUCAGGCUUCACCUAAAUGGUAGUUUAAUUGUUUUUUUCAAUUAAUUUACAAUUCAGUUGAAAUUGUAAUUAAUUUAAAUUAAAAUAUCAAUUAGUUUUAUUGGCUUUAUUAUUUCAUUAAUAUUCUUAUUAAUGUUAAAAUCAUUCAAAUAUAUAUUUUUAUCAUGCAUUAUUUCAUAGUAAUAUAUCUACUUAACGUUUCUUUUUUUUCUCAAGUUUUAAUUAAAAUUAACUUCACAUUUUUUUUGUUUUAUUUCUAUUUAAUGUUUCACAGCCUUCUUUGUUUGUUUUUCAAGAUUAAAUUAAAAUUAAUAUAAUCAUUAUUGUGAUUUCAAAUUUUAAAUAUUAAAUUAUUUGAAAUUAAUAUAUAAUUUUCACUUUUUUUUGCUUUUCAAUUUUUAAUUAAAACUAAUAUAACUAUUUUUUUAUUUCUAUUUAAUGUUUCACAUUUUUUUUCAAUUUUCAAUUUUCAAUUAAUAUAAUCUUCACUUAAUUUUAUUUUUGUUUUUCAAGUUUUAUUUCUCAAUUUUUCUAUAUACAAACCUUGAAGAAAUUAGUUGAUACAAACUUCUAUAUAACAAAAAUAUAAUUUACAAUCGACUUAUUAACCCUCUUUAUAAUUAUACUUAAAUUUCAAAUAUAAAUUUAUAUAUUUUAUUUUACUUUUCAUAUAAACAUAAUAUUUAAAUUUAGAGGAGGAUCAACUCAUAUGAAGACAUGAUAAGUAGUACAAACAAUAAGUAAGACGCUACAAACUGAUAUCAAAAUGUCAUAUCUGUAAAUAAACCCAAAAAAAGUUUAUAAUUUCAAAUGAACAACACAUUAUUCUAAAUGAAUAUCAAAAAUUAAAAUUUUAAAAAUAUAUAUCGCAUGCUUAUAAUAACACAAGAGGUCUACUUAUUGUAUAAUAUACAAAGAGUAACAAAAUAAAUUGAAAACAUUUGAUAUAAUAUAAUUGAAUUAUAAUAAAAGGACGAUAAAUUAUGGAAUGGUGAUUUGAGAGACAAUUAACAAGUCCUACUAUAUUGCUCUUUAUAAAUAAUUUGUCACCAAAGAUCCAUCAAUGAUGACUCAAGAAUGUUUUCCAAAGAUAUGGUAAAAAUUUUAAAUAUUCAUACAAAACAAGUUGAUUAUUAAAGUGCACAAAUUUGAUAGUCAAAUUCAUAAGCAUUGAAGAGGCAAGAUCUAUUGCAAACAAGUUCAAACAAGACAUGAAACCAACGUGAACAUGGUGAUUUCAAAAUCCAAUGGACACUAAGGGUCCGUUUGAUUGUGGGAUUUGAUUUUUCGGAAAUUGUUUUCCAACUUUUCCAGUGUUUGUUUGGCGGAAAUGUUAGAGUAGUUAUCAAAGUAGUUAAGACUGUUAGUGUGGUUAUCAGUUGCAGUUAGUCUGUUCUAGCAGUUUCUUUAUUGUACGUAUGCUUAUAAAUGCAUGAGACUUCUACAUGCAUUAGAUAAGCAAUAAUAAAAAGUAAGAAAGUCUUCUUUUCUGAAUAUUUUUGUAUAAGUCUAACAUGGUAUUAGAGCCAGGUUGUUUCUUGGUGUUUUUUGCUUGAUUUUCCGCUGUGUAUGUUCAGUAUGGCUUGCAGUUCUGUUGAUGCAGUUGUCGAUAGUAGGAUUUUUUCAUCAAAGAAGAUCAGUAUUCUUCUUGAUGAUAGCAACUAUUUGUUGUGGUGACAACAAGUUCUUUUGGCAGUCAAAGCACACAAGCUUCAGCGUUUCUUGGAUGAGAAUCAAGAUCCUCCUACUCAGCUUAUUUCCGAUGACAGUGGGGGUUGUUGUGAAAAUCCAGAGUUUGCACAUUUUGAGCAACAAGAUAGUGCGCUUGCUUUGUGGCUAUUAUCUUCUAUCAGUCCGUCCGUCCUCCCUCACCUUAUUGGCAUGGAUACAAGUGCAAAGAUCUGGAAAGCGGUUGUCGCCUUGUAUGGGAGUAAAACCACUUCCAAGUUGAUGUUUUAUCGGCGGACUUUGCACUCUCAGCGCAAGGGUGAAAUGAGCAUGAAAGAUUUUUUAGUCAAGAUUAAAGGCUGCUGUGAUCAUCUUGCCAGUUGUGGUGAAAUCAUUAGUGAGCAUGAGCACAUCACUGCAAUUCUCAAUAGACUUCCUCCAGACUAUGAAUCUAUUAUUACCAUUGUUACUUCCAGCCAAGUUCCCUACACGGUUCAAGGAGUAGUGUCUAUGCUUCUUGAUGCUGAAGCACGACAACAGCUUGUGAGUACUGAAAUUUCUAGUUCUGCUAAUGUGGUGUCGCAUCAAACGUCUGACUCCACAGUUUCUAAUGAUUCCAUUCUUUCUUAUCAACCAUCGUCUAUGAGUCGGGGGCGUGGGCGAGGUCGUUCUUUUCACUCGAAAAUUCAAUGUCAGUUGUGUGGGAAGGCUGGUCAUCUUGUUGAUCGCUGUUAUCAUCGGUUUGACUCUUCUUACAAGAGUACCAACUACAAGCCUCCUCCACAAGCAAACAUCAGCAUGGCUGGUUCCGGUCCUUUUACUACGCCUUGGUUCACUUCUUCUCAACCUCAAUGGAAUUCAUCAGGUUGGUGUUUUUCCACUUCUCCAUCUUCUACUUGGACUAAUCCGUUUGUUGGUAGUCCUCCACAACAGGUUCCCAUGCCGUCCUCUGGCACAGCUCCAACACCACCUCAGGCGUAUGUAGCAACCCCUGAAACUGUAGCUGAUAAUUCUUGGUAUCCGGAUUCAGGGGCCACGCAUCAUUUAACAAAUUCAGCCAGCUCCAUUGGUGAUGCUGGAUCUUUUAAAGGCCCAGGUAAGGUAUUUGUUGGCAAUGGUUCGGCUUUGCCUGUUAUGUCUGCUGGACAGUCGUCCUUGCUUACUCACUCUCGACCUCUGUACAUGCGAUCUUUGUUACUGGUUCCUGGAAUUACUAAAAAUCUAUUAUCUGUCUCCAAGUUUGCCAAAGACAAUAAGGUCAUGUUUGAAUUUUUCUCUGAUCAGUGCCAGGUGCGUGAUUUGAAGACAAGGGAGAUUUUACUUCGUGGUUCCGUUCAUCAUGGGUUAUACAGGCUUCAUAUUAAUCAGUCUACUGGAGCUCAUGCGCCUUCUAAGUCUACUCAUUGUUUUUCGACUAGUGUCAAACUUCCUCUUAGUGUUUGGCACUAUCGACUAGGACACCCCUGUCGUGCUAAUCUUACAAAAGCACUUAUACGAUGUAAUAUACUGUUUACUGAUAGUAAUAAAUUUGUUGAUUGUGUUGCAUGUCAUCUUGGUAAGGAAUGUAAGCUUCCUUUUACAAAAUCAGCAACUGUGUAUACGUCACCUCUACAACUGGUUGUGGCUGAUGUUUGGGGACCAGCUCCGAUUGCUUCCAAUGGUUUUCGGUAUUACGUUGCCUUCACCGAUGCUUAUUCUAGGUAUACAUGGCUUUAUUUUCUGAAGAACAAGACUGAAAUUCAAACUGUGUUUCCACAAUUUCAUCGCAAAGCUGAAAGAAUACUUGGAACAAAUCUCAAGUCUCUGCAGACAGAUGGGGGAGGAGAGUUUCAGGCAUUGAAAACUUAUCUUAAUCAACAAGGUAUUGUGCACCGACUCACUUGUCCCUACACAUCUGCUCAGAAUGGCCUUGUUGAACGCAAACACAGGCAGAUUGUUGAAGCAGGUCUUUCUAUGUUAGCUCAUGCAUCAAUGCCUCUGAUGUUUUGGAAUGAAGCCUUCUGCAGUGCCGUAUUCUUGAUUAACAGGUUACCCUCUCAUCCUUUGAGUGAUGUCUCACCAUAUGAAAAACUAUUCCAAACAAAACCCGAUUACUCUUACCUUAGAACUUUUGGUUGUUUAUGCUUUCCCAACAUUCGGCCAUUUACCAAAACAAAGUUACAAUUUCGUUCAAUACCCUGUGUUUUUCUAGGUUACUCCUCAGUACAUAAAGGUUAUAAAUGUAAAGACCCCAAUGGCAAAGUCUAUGUCACCCGUCAUGUCACCUUUAAUAAAACUACUUUUCCAUACAAAAGUUAUUGUUCACCAGUCACAUCACCUAUUUCUACUUUUCCAUACAAAAGUCAUUAUUCACCAGUCACAUCACAUAUUUCUAGUCCACAAGUUAGUGCUAAACUUUUAGUUGUUCCUUCACCUCAUGUGUCGUGUUCUAGCACUUUGCCUACACCUCCACCAAAUACGCCACCUACCUCUACUACACCUAUCCCAUCACAUUCAACACCUACCUCCACUACACCUUUUCCAUCACAUUCAAUGUCUCACUCACAAUCUGCUUCCCAUAAUGUAAUACAUAAUACACCUACUUUAUCACCUUUACCACCUUUUUCUCAACAAACAGUACCAUCCCCACAAUCUGCACCUGUGUCGACUUCUCUUCAACAACAGGAGCAAACCCUCCAACCCUUGACACUCAACAAUCAUCACAUGAUUACCAGAAGCAAGUCUGGAGUUUUUAAGCCAAAUGUGUAUCUUAGUACAGCAGCUUCUUCCCCAAAAGAUGAUCCUUCCAAUAUUCAUGAGGCAAUGAUGUUUGAGUGUUGGCAGGAAGCAGUUUAUAGUGAGCUCCAAGCCUUGGCACGAAAUAAUACCUGGACUUUGUGCUCCCUUCCAGAGAAUCGGAGGGCAGUAGGGUGCAAAUGGUUGUUUAAGGUAAAAAGAAAGUCUGAUGGCUCCAUUGACAGAUACAAGGCUCGGUUAGUUGCAAAAGGUUUUUCUCAACAUGCUGGGUUUGAUUUUCAUAAUACGUAUAGUCCAGUGGUUCGAGCUUCCACCAUCCGCACUGUUCUUUCACUUGCAAUUAUGCAGGGGUGGUCUCUUCGCCAAGUCGACAUCAACAAUGCUUUCCUCAAUGGUAAGCUUACUGAAGAAAUAUACAUGGACCAACCUCCUGGCUUUGAAGUCCCAAGUGUCUCUGGUCAGAAACUGGUGUGCAAACUAAAUAAAGCACUGUAUGGUUUGAGACAAGCUCCUCGUGCCUGGUUUCAGACUCUUAAGGAGUAUCUCGUGACUCAACUCGAUUUUCAAGCAUCUAAAGCUGAUUCCUCCUUGUUCAUUCGUGUGUUUGAUGGGAAGUGUCUUCUACUCAUGGUAUAUGUUGAUGAUAUUGUUCUUACUGGAAGUCAUGAUCAAGACAUUGAAGAUGUUGUGCAGCGGCUUCACAGCAAAUUUGCUCUCAAGGACAUGGGAGCACUCAGUUUUUUUUUGGGCAUUGAUGUUCGACGCACUUCACAGGGGCUGAUGCUCAGUCAAAAGAAAUAUGUUACUGAACUACUUGAGAAGACUGGAAUGCUUGGAGCAGCAUCCACACCAACUCCGAUGGUAAGCACGCCUAAGCUAGUAGCUUCUGAUGGCAGUCCUCCAUUUUCUGAUGUGCACUUAUAUAGAAGUGUUGUGGGCAUGCUUCAAUAUGUUUGUAUUACACGGCCUGACUUGUCGUUCUGCACCAAUAAACUUAGCCAAUACAUGAGUGCACCAAGUGACACUUACUGGAGAGCAGUCAAACGGGUAUUAAGAUAUUUAGCUGGCACCAUGGACCAUGGUUUGUGUCUUACAGCAGGACAACUAGAACUGGUAGGAUAUUCGGAUGCUGACUGGGCUUCUUCCAUUGAAGAUCGGCGUUCCACUUCUGGAUAUGUGGUAUAUCUUGGAUCAAAUCCGGUGGCUUGGUGUUCAAAGAAACAGUCUGUAGUCUCUCGAUCCUCUGCUGAAGCAGAAUAUCGCAGCUUGGCUAACUGCGUGUCUGAACUCCUAUCUAUUCAACAGUUGCUAAAUGAAGUUGGAAUGUCAAUGUCUAAGAUACCAACCAUCUGGUGCGACAACUCUUCUACAGUAUCUGUUGCUGAAAAUCCUACUCAUCAUACUAAAAUGAAACACGUUGAAAUAGACCAUCAUUUUGUUCGUGAAAAAAUACUUGCUGGUUGUUUACAAGUCAAUUUUGUUCCCUCUGCUCAACAAAUUGCAGAUGUCCUUACAAAACCAAUCACGCCUAAGCAAUUUUCUUCCUUCAGACGUGCUCUUCGAGUGCUGCCAUCGAAAGAUCUUUGUAAUACAAAAACAAAUAAGCAAGGGGAAUGUUAGAGUAGUUAUCAAAGUAGUUAAGAUUGUUAGUGUGGUUAUCAGUUGCAGUUAGUCUGUUCUAGCAGUUUCUUUAUUGUACGUAUGCCUAUAAAUGCAUGAGACUUCUACAUGCAUUAGAUAAGCAAUAAUAAAAAGUAAGAAAGUCUUCUUUUCUGA